UCAUGUAUGUCUGGCACUACGGCACGCACAAAAAGUACGAAUUUGAUGUUCAAAACAAGGUUUCCAUCAACUGGCUGCUUGGCAUAGGUCCAAGCAUAGGCAUCGUACGAGUGCGUGGUGUUGGCCUUAUACAUACAGACCUAGUAUCCGGAAUUCCUGUCAUCUUUUCCCACUUUGUGACCAACCUUCCAGCUUUCCAUCAGAUCCUAGUCUUUCUCUGCAUCAAACAUGUGCCCGUUCCGCACGUUAGACCCGAGGAAAGAUUUCUAGUCGGCCGUGUUGGUCCGCGGAAUUUCAGAAUCUAUCGUUGCAUAGUGCGGUAUGGAUACCGCGAUAUCCACAAAGAUGAUGUUGAGUUUGAGAACGAUCUCUUAUGCAGCAUAGCUGAAUUCAUACGCACAGGGAGCAUCGGAAUAUCUUCAAAUGACGAGGUCGAAAAACAUGACAAAAUGACAGUUGUUGGGACAUAUUCUUCACAAACCAUUUUGAGGUGCAGCGAUAAUAAUUCGGAUAAUAAUGUUGAUAAUGUCGACUCGGAAGAGACGUCAUCAGAACUUAAGGAGAUAAAAUCGCCACAGGUGAAUCAACAGAAGAAAAAGGUGAGGUUUUUGGUACCUGAGAGCCCUAAGAUUGAUACAGAAGCAAAGGAAGAGUUAGAAGAAGUGAUGGAAGCAAGAGAAGCUGGAAUAGCUUAUAUUAUAGGACAUUCUUACAUGAAGGCUAAACCAGGGUCUAGUACUAUAAAGAAAAUAGCUAUUAAUUUUGUGUAUGAAUUUCUAAGAAGGAAUAGUAGGGCACCAUCCUUUGUACUUGGUGUACCUCAUGCAUCAUCACUAGAAGUUGGUAUGAUGUAUCAAGUUUAACUUUUUUGGUUUCACAAAGCAUAGAAUUCUCAAUGUACAUAAUUUUCUUGUUAUAUAGUUUAGUCAUAAGGCCACACACCACCUCUCAAAUGGUGAUAUAUAGAUAGUGUACAAGUUUUGGUCAGUUUUGUUUUGUCCCUUUGUCACUUAUAAAAAAAUGUGUAUAGAGAUUGCUAUUCAUGAUGUCAAAUACCAAUUUUUUUUAGGAGAGUAAAGAUGACAAAAGGUGGUGAACAUGAUAUUUGGAUCUGAAUACUGUUUUUGGGCAUGUCCUAGCCCAACACGUGUUUAAGAGUGAUACGUAUGUGACACAUGAUGUUCAAUUUAUAAAAUAAUGAGUAAAUUAACAUUUUCAUCUUUUAAAGCAAAAUAGUAACAUGUACUCGAGAACAUGUUAAAAAAUUAUAUAUAAUAAUUCUGUUUUAAAAGUUGUAUAUUUAAAUUAAAAUUAUAAAUAUUGUUCUUUUUAAUACAAAAUUUUUAUUUUGAGUUUUUUAACAUAUAAUCUUAAAGCAUGAGUUAGUAAAACUAUUUUUAAAAUUUUAAGUAUCUAGAAAUUCGAAGCACCAAAUUUUCGAAAUACUAUAUUGCGUUCUUAAAUUGUCCAAUGUUAAUCAAAAUACUUUAUCAUCAAAUAGUUUUAUUAAAGGUGUUAAUAUCUCACGUUAAGGUGUUUAAGUUUAUGUCAUAUUCACACAUAACAUCUUGACAAACAUGCAAUGGUUAUAUUUUUUUCCCCUUAUUUAUCUUCCCCAGGUUUUCAAAUUUGAAAAUCUUCAAAUCAAGAAAUUCAACAAUACAAAUCUCUUCAAAUCAAAUAUGGGAGAGAGGGAAUAUGAAACAAGGACGGGGAGAACAUACUAUUUUGAUAUGGAUACUAUUGUUUUUGGAUGUGUUCUAAUCUAACAUAUGUUUAAUAGUGAAGAGUGUUAGAGUGAGUUGUGUUCAAUGACUAAUGAAUAAAUCACUAUUUUUAAUUUUUUUAAUGAGAGAUGUUUGCAUGUUAUCAUUUAUUUAGAUUCGAAUUAUAGACUUUGACUCCUUUAAUAUUUAGUUUAAUUAAUUAAAUUAUCAUUACCCCAUUAUUUUAAUUCUUCAAAUUAUAAUUGUCUAGCAACUUGAGACUCCAAAUAUACUAAAUACUAAAAAUUCAAUCCAUCAAAUAAUCAUGUUAAAGGUUUUGGCAUGUGACAUUGUGGCUUGUCCACAUUGACAUCACGUCAUACAAAGUGUUUUAACAGUAACAAGACACAAUAAAAAACAUAAAACUCAACGACUAUUAUUAAUUUUUUUUUUUUAUCUAUUUAUCUUCUUCCCUAAGUAUAUAUAACUUUAAAUCCUCAAAUUUUUCCUUAUCUCUUUUUACAAGUUAGAUUUGUUUGUUUUUCUUUCGCCAAUGGAGUACCAGUUAUUUCUCCAAAUAAAAAAAUAUUUUCCGUGUGUGAUAAAAAUAAUCCUUGGAACUUUGUUUAAUUUCUUCUAAUCAAAAUUAACUUUGUGAGGGGAUAUGAAUAUGAGGAUAAUUUGGUGGCUGGAGAGUGGAAAUAAAAAGUGGAGUGAUACCUUUAAAAAAAUAAGAAGUGGAGUGAUAAAACAUGUUUUAGAAAAACUUUCAAGACUUGCGUAAAUUUUCUUCAUCUCACGAUGAAUGUCAAUUUGUAACAAAAAAAAAUGUCCGAGUGAUUGUCAUUUUUAUUUUUAAAAUUGUAUCAUUUCAUUAACAUUAUGUGCUUCAUUAUCAAUUAAUUAUAUUCCAUUUAUUUUAAUAAUGAGCAUAUUAAUUUUUAGUUCGUAAAGUUUAACUAAAGGGAUUACGUCAAUACUAUUAGAUUGAACACUUUUAUUGAGUUCGAACGGAUAAUAUCGCAUGUGUUUUUUCUAUUUAAUACACAUAGUAUAGAGGAGAGAAAAUUACAGUGGUGGAUAGUAUUUCUCAAGGAUUGUGUUGUUUCUUUUGAAAAAUGUUAAAUAGUGAUUUAAACAUUAGUUAAACAAUCAAAAUAAGUAAAUUUUAAAUAAAAAAAUAACCUAAUUAUUACUACUUGAUCAAUAGUAACCUCUUAUAUUUUUCAGAUAAAUUUCUAUUUAUAGAUUAUUUAACUAAUGUCUCUGUGCAUUUAAGCAACACCCUUUCUUUUUCUUUAUUUUGUACUAAAUAGAGAAAUUAUUGCAAGUUAUACUACCGAGCCACCAUGUUUGCUUGCCUUCUAAAAUUAUUGGAAGUUGACAAUAACAACGUCAUUCAUGGAGCUUGUCUUUAGCACGCUGAACAAUGAAUGAGGGAGAUGUAUCGGCUAUAGAAUUGUGAUGACACAUACAAAAUAUACAGGAUCAUAAAAAUGGUGUUUACACUCUAUUACUAUCUCUUGACUCUGGAGUUAUGAUGACUACUAUUAGAGAAGAUCACGCUUUUAUCAGGAACAUCAAGAGAAGCUGGAAUAGCUUAUAUUAUAGGACAUUCUUACAUGAAAGCUAAACCAGGGUCUAGUUCUAUUUUUGGUUUCGCAAAGGAUAGUUUUAUUGUCAUUGGAGUACAUAGUUUUGUUAUAUAGUUUAAGUCAAAAAGUCACACACCACCUGUCAAGUGGUGAUAGAUAUUGUUUUGUCCUAUUGUAUUUGUUGUCUCAUUUCUUCAUUGUCACGUCUAUAAAUAUGUUUAUAGAGAUAUUUGCUAUUCAUGAUGUCAAAAAUGGUUUCUUUUGGGAGAGGAAAGAGGAUGCUAUUUCAAUCUGGAUAUAUACCACUGUGUCCUAGCCAUUGAGAAGUAAUCUGGGAUUCAUGGAUCUUAUAUUCUAUAUGUAGGCAUCAAAUUCAGAUGCCUAAUGAGAAAGAUGAAUAAUGAAAGCAAAUGGUAGAGAAAAGACGGUCGUUUUAGAAGCAAAAGAAGGUCGUGCAUGUUAGGUUUAAGCAAUGUUGUUUAAUCCACCUAAAAUUAAGGAUUAAACAAAGGGUCCUAAGGAUAAGAUUGAUAAUAAAUUGUAAAUAUGAUAUGAUAGUUUUAUCAUAUUUUGUCUUUAUGCACGUUCUAAAAUUGUGUUAUAAAAUUUGAAAAAUGAUCAAAUUGAUUGAUAUUUUUUUAAUUUAUGAAAUUAAACUGCUACUUCACACAUUUGAAAAAUUAAAUUGGCCGACUUUUACCAAAAAGUACGAGACCAACUUUACUCACCUUUUCCUCUCAAACAUAAAACUUUAAUCACCGUCCUUGUGAGUUUAGCUCAAUUGUCAGGGACAAUACAUAAUAUAUGCAAGGUAUGGGUUUAAACCCCGACCACCACAAAAAAAUAAACAUUAAUCAUCUUUUAGCUAAUGAAAAAAGAAAAACAUUACACCCAUUCAUUUUUUUUAUAAAAUCAGAGAGUGACUCUGAAGUAUACCUUUGGACAAAAAGAAAAUAUAAUUUUUUUUUUUUAAAUACAUACAUGAGGGAAAAAGAUCUAUAUUUUUAUUCUUUUUAUAUGUAUAUUUGAAAGUAACUUUGAGAAGUUAAAAUGUUCUUUUAACAAAUAUAGCUUUUUAAAUAGAUUUUGUCUAAUGUAUAUAAGUAAAUUAAACUUGGACCAUACACAAGUAUGUUUUCUACUACUCGAUCACUAAGUUACAACAUAUAACAAUUGAUCUAAUUAUAGGAGCAAGCUUGUGUGUGGCGACCUUUCAAAAAAUAAAGUUUGUGUUUGGUGCAACACUUAUUUCACUUAAGCACGAUGUUUUAUAACCCAUACCCGUUGGACCGGGAAUCGGAGAUUUGAGCAUGUCAGUCUGGCAACCGACCCAGGGAAAACAAGUGUGAUACGGGCGGGUGACUAGUUGGACUGUACAAACCUGGUAAACCCGACAAACCAGUUGGUAAAAUAACUUCUUUUAAAUAAAGUUAGCUAUAUAUUAGCUAGCAACUAGUUAUGAAUGCGGAACCAACGGUUGCACGCUUAACGAGUUAAAUUCCUCUUAAUUUACUUAAAAUAAAUGGAUAAUAAGAGAAAUUGAGAUAUUAAUAAAUGGAGAGGAUUUUAACUUACGCUUAAUAUACCACUUAUCUUUCUUUUUAAUUCAUAUAAGCUAGAGUUUUCUCACUAGUAUAUAAGCGUCACCCAUGUCAUUCAAAAGAAUAUGGAUCAUUUUACCUUUGUAGAUAUAGGGUAAAAAAAAUAUUUAUAAGGUGAAUUCUGACUGCUAGGCUACCUGACUGAAAAAAGAAAAAAAAAAAAAAAAGACUUGGAUGGUAAAUUUUUUUAAUGAUUUUUUGAAGGCUAGUUCAUUUUUAGAUGGUAAAAAAAUCAGAAUUAAUUUUCCCUUGUCGAAAAAUUAUAAUUUGAUGUGGAAGACCUUAUUUUAGCGUCUUAAAUUUGUCUGAAAAAAAUUCAACCUCUAGUUCAUUUUUAUGGACUUUUAUCUAAAAAAUUAUAUAUUUUUCUUUAUUUUAAUAUCUCAAUUACAAUCCGGUAAAAAAAAAAUGGUACGUCAUAAAAAAGAUCAAUGUAGCAAGAUUCUGUGUCUUACUAGUGCCUCAUGUGGCAAGAUUCUCUAUCAUGUUAGUGUAACUAGGCAACUUGAGGACCAAAAUAGGAAGAAAUUCAAAUUAUAGAAAUAUAAUAUGUUUCUAUUUUUAUGUGGUAUUUUCGGACGAUGUGUAUAUAUACAAGGGUUAUUUCCACAAUUAACUCUUUAAUUUAUGUGAUGAAAAAAAAAUAUUGUACAUUCACUCAAAUAACGUUGUGUAAAUAUUUGUGGAGAUAUUUUAAAAAUAUACCUAUAAAAAUAACACAAUGGAGUUGUUUGAUUGGAUAUGGUAUUUACAUAAUAAGUGCAUAGAAAUUAAUCUUUUAAAUAUGUCUUAGGUCUCAAAUCUCUUUGAUCCUCAAUUUUAAAAUUGAAUUAGUAGCAUUAAUUCUAUUAAUAUUAAUUAUCUUAGGUUCCAUUAUCAACUACACUCAUUAAUUUUAUUGAUUCACAAUGCAUUAAAUAACACAACAAAAUUUAACCAUGUUUCAUCUUCUUUCUUGAUCUCUUAUGCUUUGUUUCAUAUAUAUUUUUCAACUUGCACUAAUUUCUUUGAUUCUUUGAUCUUUUUCAGCUCCAUUAGAUCCAAAUCCUAUAACUGAUUUGAAUAUUAUUUUGAUAUUCACAUUUACGUGCAAGGAUGUCUUUUUAAGGAGACAUGUUAAUUGUGUAAGAUAUGAGUAUUGUUAGUAUAUUAGUCAUCUCAAUUAAUGCAUUUGGUGAAGAAAAAAGUAAUGAUAUUUAUGGAACUUAAUGAUAUUUCAUAAAGAAUAAAAUGAAAAUUACCACGUAGUUAUUGCGGAUCGAAUUUGAAAUUGACUGUCAUCCAUGUAACAAGUCAACUUUCAAAUAUUUAUGAAACUUAAUGAUAUUUCGUUGUGAACUCAUUGCUCAUUAUUGCUAAUCGAAAUUUCCGGUCAUGAAUAGAUGGGAAAGUAAUAAACCAAUGUUCACGCCAAAAUGUCAACUAUUGGUAUUUAUGAUUGACACUAACAACUUUUGGAAUUGGAAACGUCAUAAUGCAUUACAAAGCAUUAUGCAGUAAUUGCUUUUAUGGCUGCAAUGAAUAGUAAUUAUUACCAAUAGAACAAGAGUCAAGGGGCAGCGUACAACUUUCAGAGAAGAAAAUUUCCAAUAUCUGUUUCAUUUGCCAUGACAAUCAACAAGAGUCAAGAGCAAUCACUUAAAAAUGUUGGAAUUUAUUUGCCGAGUCAUGUGUUCUCGCAUGAUUAGUUGUACGUUGCAAUUUCCAGAGUCACUUCAAAACAAUGUUUGAAAAUACUAAUCGUUGAUAGAGAUGGAGAGAACGCUAAUACGACCUCAAAUGUUAUUAAUCACGAAGUCUUUCAUAAUGUAUCUUGAUGGUUAAUGUUCAAACCUUUUUGUUAUGUAUGCUACCUUUUCAUUUUGUUGCUAUUGUUGUCUUAGAAGGGAACAUAUUUUUAAAUUGUUAUAAAACUUCCAUUAACUUUCUCAUUAAAAGCAAUUGUUAUUGUUUAAACAACAUUAAAGCAAUUUUGAAUUAUGAUUUCUCUCCCUCCUAUUUUCAAAUCUUUUUAUUACAAAUAAAUGUGUGUUUUAAUUGUCCAUUGGAAUAUACAUACUCGAUAUAAAUGUGUACUAAUGACAUUCAAACCAUUUUUAGAAGUUAUAUAACAAAAUAAUUAGUUAGCAUUGGAAAUUGACAUGCACAUUAAGUAUCAUUAUUAGUGAUGAAUGCCUAUGAGGAACAUAAAAGGAAAGAGCUUAAUGGACAAUUGACUUAUUUCAAGCAUUAUAUAUACACACACUGAGAUUUGUUUAGCCAUAACAACAAAGAUAUCACCCUCUACAUAAGAGGUAAUAAUGAUGGACAGUCAAUCUGCCAUAAAUGUCAUAAAAUUCCUCAUUCACUGUCAAAGAGAUUUUUUUUCCUCAAAAGGUGUUAUCUUUAUCUGCAUUUUCGUUUUCAUAUGAGUUGAGGUUUUGCUAUCUGUUUCUGAUGUCUUUCUUAUAAAUUUGGCUUUUAUAGAUAUGACUUUAUGAGAAUAUGAACCAACAGAUCCAGCUUAUAUUCAUCUCUUGAGGCUUAAAUGACGUACUCAUCACGUAUAGUAUCAUCCAAAAGAGAUAUAUUUGAUAACAUACCUAAUUUUGUAAAGCCAAUCAUAUUUGUUGUCCUUUGUUCAUGUUAUAUAUGUAGCAUUUGUAAGAGAAAAAAAUGUUAUAAAUAAAUCAUUCAUAUUGCUUUUAAAUGUUUGUUGCAACUAAUGAGUUUUUGAAAAGGACUUGCAAUUGUUGAGUUAUUUUAUAAAAAAAAAUCUUCUUUUGUGUUGCUUAAGUAAUUGUUUUACUUAUUUUAUUUUAUUUUUUAAUUGUUGGAUUAUCUACAUUUUAGUGAGUUUACCUUGUUCUUAGGCCAAUUACAUUGAAACCUACAAACCAUUUUAGGCAAGUUUUUAUGGUUAUGCAUAGUUUGAUGAAAAAUAUAAUGUUUAUUCCUUCUCUUUUCUCUAUUAUUCUGUUUGUUACAAUUGAAGAGGUUCUUGCUUUGCAAUGCUUAAAGAGUUUGAUAUGCCUUUUUGUUGUUUGAUUGAUUUUUCAUUUUUGUUCCAUGUUGCUUUUCCAAACAAAAUUGUUUAUAUAAUUUAUUAAUUGAUAUUGACAACACCAUUGAACAUCAACUUGAAUAUUGUCAACGCUAAGUAUAUCGACACUAUGAAAUUUAUACAUUGAACAAAUCACACUGAAUUUAAUAUCAAUGUUGUAUGUUAUUUAAUCUUUGUUGUAUUUGUCUUAUGUAGUUGCUUAUUUAUUUCUCUUUUACAUUGUUUCUAAUAUGGAUGUUGUGUAUCAUACUAAGUCUCGGUUUUGCUUAUCCUUUUUGCUAUUCUAAAAUUCUAUUUCUGAAAUCCUUUUUAAUGUGCAAUUUUUUAAUGCUACAAGUUUUAUUGAUUACUACACUAAUCAUAUGUAUGGUUACUUGAAACACUAAUCAUACGUAUGGUUACUUGAAGUUAGUUGUAAAUUUAACCCUUUGGAUCACAUCUAUAUUCAAAGAGAGUUUGCAAUCAUCUCAUCAAAAUUACAUUAGGCAAUCAUUUCUUGCGAAAUAAUAGUUAUGUUUGAAAUUAUAUAAUUUGGAUUCAAAUUUGCUUUUAGACAAACGAACAUUUUGAUAGGGUAAUCUUAAAUUAAGUUCAAGAAUACUAAUGUGGUAUAAGUUGUUCACUUAUAAAGAAGAAUUUUAACUUAUCACGUUCAUGAAGCUAUACAAAAAAGUUGUGUGUUGGCAAUGCGGUUUAUAUCACUUUUAAAGCCAAAACUCAACCGAUCCACUAUGUUAUUUAAUUUUAAUUUAGUUUCGUUUAGAAUGAACCAUUUAAAAAAAGGAUUUCCUACGUAUUUUAAUGCGGUUUAAUUUGGAUAUGUUAUAAUGCGGUUUUUUUAAUAUUAAAUUUUUAAAAUAUAACGAUAUAAACUUAUUGAUAGUUAAUUAUUGAGCUUUAUUUAAGAAAAUUGUGUGAGAUGUUUGGUUAAAAAUAUUAAGUGUUACAAAAGAGUGAUGUGUACAUGGGAUCUAUUUAAAUAGCAAAAGUACCAAAAAUGAGUGUCACAUUGUAGAUGCUUCUAUAAACCUUAGAGCACAAAACCCUAAAAACGUGAACGCUUCAGCAACUCUGAAAUGGCGGGAAUUCUUUGGGAUCUACCUGGAAAACAUGUUUGGAUAUUGAUGAAAAAUCUUGCAGGUAAACGAAACUUUAACUAUUGAGUUAUUUCUUUAUUGUGAUGUUAUAUGAUAGUGAUGGAUGUAGUUACGUUUAAUCGUUGACGAUGUUGAUUUGAUAGAUGAUACCACAUUUUAUUUUUUUAGGACGCUGAUGUGAUUGAUGUUACUCGAUUUAGAUCAAUUUUUUUGUCAAGAAAUUAAAUGAUAUGCUGCAUGGAUUAAUGUUUCCAUAUUUAGAUCCGUAUUUUUCUAACAAUGUACUAACUUAGAUAUGAUAUUAUUUAUUUAUUUCAUUUAAUUGAUUUCAAAGAGGGCUUAAAAGUAAGAUUUGACAUUAUCUUGAUUCAUAUAUAUCUAACGUUACCUUGAUUAUGUUAAUAUUUAUUCUUUAAUUAGGUAUGCAAAAAUGAAACAAAAAAACAGGAUCUUUUAAAAAAUUUGAUAUUGAAGGAGAAGUGACACCGUUUUUGGUAUGUACAAAUUGAAAUUUACAUUUCUGCUAUGCUGAUAUUGUUAUUAACUAUUUUAAUUUUAAUAAACUAUUUAAACAAGCAGGAAUAUUCUAGUAGACAACUCAAUUUCCACAACAAUGACAAAAUUAGGGGCAAAGUUAUCAAUAACAAUCCAAAUGUGGAAAUAAUGUUUGGCUCAACAAAUAAGGAUUUCACACACUUAUUUAAAAAUGCAAAGACGUUGUCAAAAUAUAUGAUAAUUUUACUAAACUAAUCUUAUUUACUAUUGAUUUAAUACUUUGGAAGUAGUGUAUACUAAAUUAAUUAGAGGGUAAAAUUAUUAUUAUUGUUUUUGAAAGAAAUAUUGUUGUUAUUGCUGUUAUUAUUGUUGUUGUUGUUGUUGUUAUCAAUGUUAUUGUUAUUGUUGUUGUUGUUAUCAUUUUGUAUAUUUGUUUUUGAAAUCGUAUGGCUUGUAUUUGUUAUAAGUGAGUGCAAAUGCAAACCGAGGUUCAAAACCACCAUUGGUCUGCAUAUCAUUUGUAAACUAAUUUAAAGGAAUUGCAUUUAUUUCAAUAUUUAAAAAAAUUAAACGAGACAUAAAUAUUUUUGAUAAAGGUAACCGUACAUGUUAUCACAAUUCAACAAUGAGAGAUAAUUAAUAACGUAAUCAAUUCACUUUUUAAAUUAUUAACGUUAUCAGUAUACUUCAUAUUUAUAUGUUAUUUAUUUGUGAUGAAGGUAACUGUAAAGACAAUGUUAUCAGUAUACCACAUGAUAGCGCCACCUUAUAUUGAAUUACACGUGUCAACGAUACAUAUAUACUGCUAUUUCUUCUGCACUGUCUGAAUCAGGGCCGCGCAACCCCUAAGCAGCCGCGAAAACCCUAAUGGAUGAAAAACCCUUUUAUGUGAGGUUGCCGGAUUCCAUUCUUGAAUGGAUAAAUGAGAAAUUAUCACAGUCCACUUUAAAAGGUAACUGCUACAUUAUUAAUUUUCCUUUUUUAUCUUUGAAACAAACCAUAUAAAUAUCAGUUCUGUUAUUCUAUAUCUUAAAAUCAAAACACCAUCAACUAUUCAUUGAUAUUAUUUAAUUUCCUUUAUUUUCAAAACAUAAUGAUUCUGAUUUUUAAGUCAAACGCCUUGGUUAUUAUUUCUCCAGAACUAGAGAGGCAGAACAUAAUCAACCAUACAAUUAUAGAUGAAAUUGAGUUGAAGCUUCAUGGAUCAGCGGUAAAUAAUUUAAUUGCAGUUGAAUUAAUUAGUUAUCUACAACUUCAUAAUUAAACUGAAUUUGACUGAUGGAUAAUUUAUUACUUAAUUUAAUUGCAGUUGAAAUAAUUUGACUUAUGGAUAAUUUGUUACUUUCUAUUCCAUAAUCAGUUCAAACCCCCAAAACCGACGAGUUGUAUAUCAAAGCCCAAAUUGAAUACUAAAUCUGGUCUAUUUUGGACCAUUUUACCUUUUAAAAGUGAUCUAUUUUUUCCAUUCAAAAACUACCUUAUUUUGGACCAUUUUACCAUUCAAAAGUGAUCUAUUUUUUCAUGCAUAUGAAAGCAUGACAAAUUUUUCAACAUUUUUUGACAUGCUCAAAAUACCCAAUCCCAUUGUCAAAGUCAGUAUAUGAGUGAACAACCUUCAAUAUUGAAACGAAAAAAACAUUGCUUAGUUUCAUGAAAAAUAGCAGAAAAUAAUGAAACUAGUCUUGUGUUGAAUGAAUUGCCAAACAGAUGAAUUACCACUUGAUUGAUGCAUUGCAGAGACAUAAUUGUCCAGUUUGACAGUUAGUGGAUAAUUUCAUAUCUAAUGUAUAAUCAAAAAGAGCAUGAACAAGCCAGUUCUUGUUAUCACUUUCUUGUGUAUCAAGUAUCAACGCCGGUAAAACACAAUGAAGGAUAAAUAAAAAUAUUGCUAAAACCCAAUUGAAACAAUAUGACAAGUAACUAAAAUAAUUUCAGAUUCAAAGCAACAAACUAAAAACAAUUAAGGUUUGUAGGUUAUUAUGAAAAGGAAAUAAAGAUAUGCCUUUUACGAGUGCAGCAGGCAUUCAACAUCAUACCAUUCAAAGAGAGUCGUACCUAGUUGAAAGACAUACCAACUUCUUGCAUUCAAUACCAGAAAAUUAUACACAGUUCUAAAACUUUGCAGCCCUAUAGGGUGAAGAUCUACAAACUGAACCGCAUUUCGAACUCUUGAAACUGAGGAGUGUACAUAUUUUAAUCCAUCAAUCACUACUAAAUUCAGCACAUGCGCACAACACCUCAUAUGAAACCCAAACCCAUUCAUCAUAAGCCCAUUAAUGUUUAUUAUUUUCUUUUUCAAAUACUCCACUGCAACAUCAUUUCAUGACGCAUUAUCAACUGUGAUAGUUGACACAUUUCUAAGUCCCCAGUCCUUCAGCACCUCCUCAAUCUUCUUACCCACAUACUCACCAUUAUGAUUUGGAAUAUCGAAAAAACUAAUUAUCCAUUUUUGGUAAUUCCAGUCCCUAUCAAUAAAGUGGGCGGUGAGGGUCAAAUAAUUAAGAUUCUGGAAAGAAGUCCAGCAAUCUGCUGUAAGGGUGAGUAUGUAACGCCCACUUUCGUUUAAUCGUUUAUUUAAUCGAGUUUAGGUGAUUAUAUUAUAUUUAUAUAAUAUAUGCAUGAUUUUGAUAUGUCUUGAUGAUUUAUGAUGAUUUGAUUGAUGACGUGUUAAGUUAUGAGAUUUGGAAGAUUUGAUAAGAAUAGGAGAAUUAUUUUAUUGUUAAAUAAAAUAAAGAUUUGAAAAUAAUAUAAAAUAUUUAGUUGAGGGCUGUUUUGAUAUUUUAGAUAGUUUUGGGGGAGAAAGUGAGAUAAGAUAAGUUAUUAGAAAGAGGUAUAAAUAGGGAAGACCUAAUAUCUUUAGAAAACUAUUGUACGUGAAAACUUUUGGAAAAAGGGAGAAAAGCUUAGAGAGGAGCAAGAGACCAAGAGUGCUGCGAUUUUCUUCAAACAAGGUAAGGGUGAGACUAAUGAUUCAAUAGCAUUGAUCGUUGUAAUUCUGAUGAUUAAUUGACAAAGUUAGGAUUGAUUUAGAAAAGUUUUGGAAUUAGGUCAAAACCCUAAAAAUUGAUGAUCAAACGGUAAAACUUGUUUAGAUUGAUGUAGAAACCGUCCUUUAACCUUAGAACAUGUUUAGGAUGGAUUAUGGGACCAAGAUUAGGCUUUGAACCAUGUUGUGUGAUGGAUUUUUGAGAAAAACCCUAGUCUGCCCGUGCUUCUGUUCAUCGCUCGCCACGGCGAGUGAUGAUCCUCGCCUCGUGAGUGAUGAACUUCAUCGCUCGCCACGCGAGCCCCUUCCCUUCGCCUCGCGAGUUGUUUGGUGCAACUCGCCAUGGCGAGCAACCCUUCCUCGCCUCGCGAGCUUAGGCAGAGUGCAUGUCAUAUUUUGUGUUUCGACAUUUUCAGUUGGACCUUGGAUGCCAUAGAGUGCCUGAACAUACCUAGUAUUGAUUAGGAAUGAAUGUAGGAUCAGAGGGAACCCAGAACAACAUUAGUUUGGGAGAUGAGUGGUACUCGCCAUGGCGAGUAAGAACUCUCGCCUCGCGAGUACAACCAGAAUGAACUUGCUUGAGUGUUUGUGCGAUCUGUGUCCCACGUGUUGAUCAAAAGUGAACCCCUAGUUGGUAUUAAGACCUAAUGAUGACGUUUAAUGCAGUCUGUAGAGUUGUUUAAGUUAUGUUGAUAUUAAAUGGACAUGAACUAAUCUAUUGUAUAUUCAUGCAAGAUAUGGAAACUUGAUAAUGAUGCAAUUUAUGUGCUAUUGAUAUUAUGAUAUCAUUUUGUUUAUGUGACCUGUUUAUGCUGCUUCCGUUAUUUAACUAAGUGCAUAAGUUUAUGAUGAUGUUAGCUCCAAAUUAUUGGAUGCAUGUUGAUAUGUUGAUUACGAUGUUUUUGUUCAUAAGUGUCCAUGCAUAGCAUCUCAUUGAGCUUAGUCCUCACCACGAAUAAUAGGAGCUUUGUCCUCCGCACGUUUUAUAGGACCUUCGUCCUCCGCACGAUUAAAGUAUAUUAAUACUUAUGAUGACGAUUGGUACCACAUGCAUGUAGGGAGUCUAAGAGCAUUGUCACAUUGUCAUGAUUAAGAUGCCUUGUUGAUGAUGAUUGAAUACGUGAUUACGUGAUAAGUGUUUAUCAAUUAUGUGAUUUUGUUCAUGAUAAUUGGAUAUAUGAUUAUGUUAUAACUGUUUAGCAAAUAUGCAAUGUUAAUUAAGGAAUGAUUAUGAUGUUAAUUUAUGAUUCGCAAUUACAUUGAUUAAUGUUAUUUGAUUAUGAAAUCUCACCCCUUCUGCUUGAAAAUGUUGCCCUUCGUAUGGGUAACUUGCAGGUGAUCGUGCUUAGUGUGCAGUUUGCUUUCGUGAGUUGGCCUUGCCUUCACUGUGUCGUCUAGGUCGCUCUGAUACGUAACGGGGUGGGGUUAUAUGCUAUAGCAUGCUUCAUUCUUUUACGUGAACUGCUAUGACAAUUUCUGUUUUGAUUAACUCUUUUGAGAUACUUUAUUGGGGCCUGCGUGCCAAACUGAUUUAUGGUUUAUGAACUAAUAUUCCGCUGCUAUGUUAAGAUAUUAUGUGGAAGUUAAAUUAUUAUUUAACUGUUUUUGGAUUACGUUUUUAUGUGAUAUCCCGUUUAUGGUUUUUACUCUGAUAAACGUUUAAGAAAUUUGUAUAUUGGGAAAACGGGGUGUUACAAUUGGUAUCAGAGCAGGUCGGUCCGUCCGGUCAAUUAGAGAGUCGUGUCGAGUCUUAGUAAUAUUUAUAUUACUAUCUUAUGUUGUUGUUGCUACUUUUGUAGAAUCUCGGAAAUGGCUGGAAGAAACGAUGUUGCGUUAGCUGCUGCUCUACAAGCUGUGGGACAACAACCUAACGCAAAUGCUGGUGCGAAUGCUGAAGCUAGGAUGUUGGAGACUUUCAUGAAGAAGAACCCUCCAACUUUCAAAGGACGUUAUGACCCUGAUGGAGCCCAGACGUGGCUUAAGGAGAUUGAGAGGAUUUUCCGGGUUAUGCAGUGCACUGAAGAUCAGAAGGUGCAGUUUGGUACUCAUCAGCUAGCCGAGGAAGCUGAUGACUGGUGGGUUACUCUUCUGCCUACCCUUGGGCAGGAGGGAGCUGUUGUGACUUGGGCUGUUUUCAGGAGAGAGUUCCUGAGAAGAUACUUUCCGGAAGAUGUUCGCGGGAAGAAGGAGAUCGAGUUCCUUGAGUUGAAGCAAGGAAACAUGUCUGUGACAGAGUAUGCUGCCAAGUUCGUGGAGCUGUCAAAGUUCUACCCGCACUAUACUGCUGAGAAUGCUGAGUUCUCGAGAUGCAUCAAGUUCGAGAACGGUUUGAGGCCCGACAUCAAGAGGGCGAUUGGGUAUCAACAGUUGAGAGUUUUUCCAGACUUGGUUAAUAGCUGCAGGAUCUAUGAAGAGGAUACGAAGGCUCACUACGAGGUAGUGAAUGAGAGAAAGGGCAAGGGACAGCAGAGUCGUCCUAAGCCGUACAGUGCCCCUGCUGAUAAAGGGAAACAGAAGAUGGUUGAUGUUAGGCGACCUAAGAAGAAGGAUGCUGCAGAGAUUGUGUGUUUCAAUUGUGGUGAGAAAGGCCACAAAAGCAACGUCUGCCCUGAGGAAAUCAAGAAGUGUGUCCGGUGUGGCAAGAAAGGUCAUGUUGUAGCUGAUUGCAAUCGUACGGACAUUGUGUGCUUUAAUUGCAACGGAGAGGGUCACAUUAGUUCACAGUGUACUCAGCCUAAGAGGGCGCCGACUACUGGUAGGGUCUUUGCUUUGACUGGUACGCAGACGGAGAACGAGGAUCGUUUGAUCAGAGGUACUUGCUAUAUUAAUAAUACUCCUUUAGUUGCUAUUAUUGAUACUGGUGCUACACAUUGUUUUAUUGCUUUUGAUUGUGUUUCUGCUUUGGGUCUUGAUUUGUCUGAUAUGAAUGGAGAGAUGGUUGUCGAAACUCCGGCUAAGGGUUCGGUGACUACUUCUCUCGUAUGUUUGAAAUGUCCUUUGUCUAUGUUUGGUCGUGAUUUCGAAAUGGAUUUAGUUUGUCUACCUUUGAGCGGUAUGGAUGUGAUUCUGGGUAUGAACUGGUUAGAGUACAACCACGUUCUUAUUAAUUGUUUUAGCAAGUCAGUGCAUUUCUCUUCCGUCGAAGAGGAAAGUGGUGCGGAGUUUUUAUCUACUAAGCAGCUGAAGCAACUGGAACGCGACAGUAUCUUGAUGUUUUCGUUAAUGGCUACCUUAUCUAUUGAGAAUCAAGCAGUGAUUGAUAGGUUACCGGUGGUGUGUGAAUUUCCUGAAGUUUUUCCAGAUGAGAUUUCUGAUGUGCCUCCUGAGAGAGAAGUUGAGUUUUCUAUUGAUCUUGUCCCUGGAACGAAGCCGGUCUCGAUGGCACCUUAUCGUAUGUCUGCUUCUGAGUUAUCUGAGUUGAAGAAACAGUUGGAAGACUUGCUUGAGAAGAAGUUUGUUAGACCAAGUGUUUCACCUUGGGGAGCGCCGGUUUUGUUAGUAAAGAAGAAAGAUGGUAGUAUGCGGUUAUGUAUUGAUUAUCGGCAGUUGAACAAGGUAACUAUCAAGAAUAGGUAUCCACUUCCGAGAAUUGAUGAUUUGAUGGAUCAGUUAGUGGGUGCACGUGUUUUUAGCAAGAUUGAUUUGAGGUCAGGUUAUCACCAGAUUAAAGUAAAGGAUGAAGAUAUGCAGAAGACAGCUUUCAGAACGCGUUAUGGUCACUAUGAAUAUAAAGUUAUGCCUUUUGGUGUUACCAAUGCACCUGGAGUGUUUAUGGAGUAUAUGAAUCGCAUCUUCCAUGCAUUUUUGGAUCGGUUUGUGGUUGUGUUUAUCGACGAUAUUUUGAUUUACUCCAAGACUGAAGAGGAACAUGCUGAGCAUCUGAAGAUUGUUUUGCAAGUGUUGAAAGAGAAGAAGCUUUAUGCUAAAUUGUCUAAGUGUGAAUUCUGGUUGAAAGAAGUGAGUUUUCUAGGCCAUGUUAUUUCUGGUGAUGGUAUUGCAGUGGAUCCGUCUAAAGUUGAAGCGGUAUCACAGUGGGAGACUCCUAAGUCCGUUACAGAGAUUAGAAGUUUCUUGGGUUUAGCUGGUUACUAUAGAAGGUUUAUUGAAGGAUUUUCUAAGUUAGCUCUUCCGCUAACGCAGUUGACUUGUAAAGGUAAAACUUUUGUGUGGGACGUCCAUUGUGAGAAAAGUUUCGGUGAAUUGAAGAAACGUUUGACGACUGCUCCAGUGUUAAUUUUGCCGAAGUCAGAUGAACCUUUUGUGGUGUAUUGUGAUGCGUCCAAGUUGGGUUUAGGAGGUGUACUUAUGCAAGAAGGUAAAGUGGUAGCUUAUGCUUCAAGACAGUUGAGAAUUCAUGAGAAGAAUUAUCCUACGCAUGAUCUCGAGUUGGCGGCCGUAGUCUUCGUAUUGAAGAUAUGGAGACAUUACUUGUAUGGUUCGAGAUUUGAGGUGUUUAGUGAUCACAAGAGUUUGAAGUAUUUGUUUGAUCAGAAAGAAUUGAAUAUGAGACAGCGAAGAUGGCUUGAAUUGUUGAAAGAUUAUGACUUUGGUUUGAAUUAUCAUCCAGGUAAAGCUAAUGUUGUUGCAGAUGCCUUGAGUAGGAAGACAUUGCAUAUGUCCGCUAUGAUGGUCAGAGAGUUCGAAUUGCUUGAACAGUUUAGAGAUAUGAGUUUGGUUUGCGAAUGGUCACCUCAGAGUGUGAAACUGGGUAUGCUGAAGAUUCAUAGUGAAUUCCUGAAAAGUAUCAAGGAAGCGCAGAAAGUUGAUGUCAAGUUUGUGGACUUGUUGGUUGCUAGAGAUCAGACUGAAGACAGUGAUUUUAAAAUCGACAAUCAAAGUGUGUUGAGAUUCCGAGGAAGAAUUUGUAUCCCAGACAAUGAAGAGAUUAAGAAGAUGAUUCUUGAAGAGAGUCAUAGAAGUAGCUUGAGUAUUCAUCCGGGAGCUACGAAGAUGUAUCAUGAUUUAAAGAAGAUUUUCUGGUGGUCUGGUUUGAAACGAGAUGUGGCACAGUUUGUGUAUUCCUGUUUAGUUUGUCAGAAGUCUAAAGUUGAGCAUCAGAAACCUGCUGGAAUGAUGGUACCUUUAGACGUGCCAGAAUGGAAAUGGGAUAGUAUAUCCAUGGAUUUUGUGACGAGUUUGCCAAAUACUCCUAGAGGGAACGAUGCAAUUUGGGUUAUUGUUGAUAGAUUGACGAAGUCGGCUCAUUUUCUACCGAUUAAUAUUAGUUUCCCCGUUGCCCAGUUGGCAGAGAUUUAUAUCAAGGAGAUUGUGAAGUUGCAUGGUGUUCCUUCGAGCAUUGUGUCAGAUAGAGAUCCAAGAUUUACUUCUAGAUUUUGGAAAAGUUUGCAAGAGGUUUUGGGUUCGAAGUUGAGGUUGAGUUCGGCGUAUCAUCCACAAACAUAUGGUCAGUCGGAGAGGACAAUUCAGUCGCUAGAGGAUUUGUUGAGAAUUUGUGUUCUUGAGCAAGGAGGAAUUUGGGAUAGUCAUCUUCCGUUGAUCGAGUUCACAUACAAUAAUAGUUAUCAUUCAAGUAUUGGAAUGGCACCUUUCGAGACUUUAUAUGGUCGGAGAUGCAGAACUCCGUUGUGCUGGUUUGAGUCAGGUGAAAGAGUGGUCUUAGGACCAGAGAUUGUUCAGCAAACUACUGAGAAAGUUCAGAUGAUCCAAGAGAAAAUGAAAGCGUCGCAGAGUCGACAAAAGAGUUAUCAUGAUAAGUGUAGAAAAGAUCUUGAGUUCCAAGAAGGAGACCACGUGUUUUUGAGAGUCACUCCUAUGACUGGUGUAGGACGUGCUUUGAAGUCAAAGAAGUUGACCCCGAAGUUCAUUGGUCCGUAUCAGAUAUUGGAAAGAGUUGGAACGGUGGCUUACCGAGUGGGUUUACCGCCGCAUCUUUCGAAUUUGCACAACGUUUUCCAUGUGUCGCAACUUCGAAAGUAUGUUCCGGAUCCAUCUCAUGUAAUCCAAAGUGACGAUGUGCAAGUUAGAGACAACCUUACGGUAGAGACUUUACCGGUGAGGAUUGAUGAUCGUAAAGUGAAGACGUUGAGAGGCAAGGAGAUACCUCUCGUGAGAGUCGUUUGGACGGGAACGACUGGUGAAAGCUUGACGUGGGAGCUUGAGAGUAAGAUGCUGGAGUCUUAUCCAGAGUUGUUUGCUUGAGGUAAAUUUUCGAGGACGAAAAUCUUUUAAGUGGGGGAGAGUUGUAACGCCCACUUUCGUUUAAUCGUUUAUUUAAUCGAGUUUAGGUGAUUAUAUUAUAUUUAUAUAAUAUAUGCAUGAUUUUGAUAUGUCUUGAUGAUUUAUGAUGAUUUGAUUGAUGACGUGUUAAGUUAUGAGAUUUGGAAGAUUUGAUAAGAAUAGGAGAAUUAUUUUAUUGUUAAAUAAAAUAAAGAUUUGAAAAUAAUAUAAAAUAUUUAGUUGAGGGCUGUUUUGAUAUUUUAGAUAGUUUUGGGGGAGAAAGUGAGAUAAGAUAAGUUAUUAGAAAGAGGUAUAAAUAGGGAAGACCUAAUAUCUUUAGAAAACUAUUGUACGUGAAAACUUUUGGAAAAAGGGAGAAAAGCUUAGAGAGGAGCAAGAGACCAAGAGUGCUGCGAUUUUCUUCAAACAAGGUAAGGGUGAGACUAAUGAUUCAAUAGCAUUGAUCGUUGUAAUUCUGAUGAUUAAUUGACAAAGUUAGGAUUGAUUUAGAAAAGUUUUGGAAUUAGGUCAAAACCCUAAAAAUUGAUGAUCAAACGGUAAAACUUGUUUAGAUUGAUGUAGAAACCGUCCUUUAACCUUAGAACAUGUUUAGGAUGGAUUAUGGAACCAAGAUUAGGCUUUGAACCAUGUUGUGUGAUGGAUUUUUGAGAAAAACCCUAGUCUGCCUGUGCUUCUGUUCAUCGCUCGCCACGGCGAGGGAUGAUCCUCGCUUCGCGAUUGAUGAACUUCAUCGCUCGCCACGCGAGCCCCUUCCCUUCGCCUCGCGAGUUGUUUGGUGCAACUCGCCAUGGCGAGCAACCCUUCCUCGCCUCGCGAGCUUAGGCAGAGUGCAUGUCAUAUUUUGUGUUUCGACAUUUUCAGUUGGACCUUGGAUGCCAUAGAGUGCCUGAACAUACCUAGUAUUGAUUAGGAAUGAAUGUAGGAUCAGAGGGAACCCAGAACAACAUUAGUUUGGGAGAUGAGUGGUACUCGCCAUGGCGAGUAAGAACUCUCGCCUCGCGAGUACAACCAGAAUGAACUUGCUUGAGUAUUUGUGCGAUCUGUGUCGCACGUGUUGAUCAAGAGUGAACCCCUAGUUGGUAUUAAGACCUAAUGAUGACGUUUAAUGCAGUCUGUAGAGUUGUUUAAGUUAUGUUGAUAUUAAAUGGACAUGAACUAAUGUAUUGUAUAUUCAUGCAAGAUAUGGAAACUUGAUAAUGAUGCAAUUUAUGUGCUAUUGAUAUAAUGAUAUCAUUUUGUUUAUGUGACCUGUUUAUGCUGCUUCCGUUAUUUAACUAAGUGCAUAAGUUUAUGAUGAAGUUAGCUCCAAAUUAUUGGAUGCAUGUUGAUAUGUUGAUUACGAUGUUUUUGUUCAUAAGUGUCCAUGCAUAGCAUCUCAUUGAGCUUAGUCCUCACCACGAAUAAUAGGAGCUUUGUCCUCCGCACGUUUUAUAGGAGCUUCGUCCUCCGCACGAUUAAAGUAUAUUAAUACUUAUGAUGACGAUUGGUACCACAUGCAUAUAGGGAGUCUAAGAGCAUUGUCACAUUGUCAUGAUUAAGAUGCCUUGUUGAUGAUGAUUGAAUACGUGAUUACGUGAUAAGUGUUUAUCAAUUAUGUGAUUUUGUUCAUGAUAAUUGGAUAUAUGAUUAUGUUAUAACUGUUUAGCAAAUAUGCAAUGUUAAUUAAGGAAUGAUUAUGAUGUUAAUUUAUGAUUCACAAUUACAUUGAUUAAUGUUAUUUGAUUAUGAAAUCUCACCCCUUCUGCUUGAAAAUGUUGCCCUUCGUAUGGGUAACUUGCAGGUGAUCGUGCUUAGUGUGCAGUUUGCUUUCGUGAGUUGGCCUUGCCUUCACUGUGUCGUCUAGGUCGCUCUGAUACGUAACGGGAUGGGGUUAUAUGCUAUAACAUGCUUCAUUUUUUUACGUGAACUGCUAUGACAAUUUCUGUUUUGAUUAACUCUUUUGAGAUACUUUAUUGGGGCCUGCGUGCCAAACUGAUUUAUGGUUUAUGAACUAAUAUUCCGCUGCUAUGUUAAGAUAUUAUGUGGAAGUUAAAUUAUUAUUUAACUGUUUUUGGAUUACGUUUUUAUGUGAUAUCCCGUUUAUGGUUUUUACUCUGAUAAACGUUUAAGAAAUUUGUAUAUUGGGAAAACGGGGUGUGCCAGAGUAUGUGGGUAAUUCUAAUUGAAUUUAAAUCAAAAUAAAACAAUAAAAAAACAAUCAACAUCAACAUCAGUAAAAAACAAAAGUGAUCACAAGUACAUUUUGUGAUUUGUAUCUAUCUAUAAAAAACAAAAGUGGUCACGAGUAAAUUUUUAUGUUAAAUCAAUUAUUGCUCACAAUAAAAUAUUUAAUUAAUUAUCAAUUUUUGCCUAAAAAAAACUAAUUAUCUUAUUUAUUUUUUGACAUGUAAUUAUCUAUUAUUUAUCCCCAAUUUUUUUUAUCUAUUAUUUAUAUAUAUCAAAAUCAAAAUUAACAAUAUAAGUACAUUGUACCUAAAAAAUUAUCAACACACAGUUUUAUUUUUGUGAAGGAAAAUUAUCAUACACAGUUAUUGACUUAUUUCCCUUAAAAAUAUUAAGGACGAUUAACAACUAUUAUUAUAUCUCUACUAAACUGGCCGACAAUUAUUACUACACCACCAUUAUCCUCCACUGUUUACCCAAUUUUUUUCCCUUUCGUUCAUUUUUUUUUUAGAGAUUGUUAAUGUGAUUUCUCUGCCUCACGUGAAACCAUUAGCAUGUGUGUAUUUUCUUCACUUAAAAAAUAACAUGUAUGUACAUUGUACUAAUGUGCAGAUGGCAGACCAAAGCUAGUGGCAGGAUCUGCUGAAGGAUAUUCUGGACAUGUUGAUGAAAAAUUAAGAGAGGCUAGGAUGAACCACCCAAAGGGGAUUACUGUUGAUGACCGAGGAAAUAUCUAUGUUGCAGAUAUUAUUAAUAUGGCAAUCAGGAAAAUUAGCUUAGGAAAUAACAUGACUUAUUUGAGCUUGCUAUUCAAUUGAGACAAGCACUUGUGAGACAAUUUUUUGAGAACUUAAGGAAACAACUUACGACAUGUUCGUAAGUUGUUUUCGAUUUAUUUCCAUAAGCUCUCUUGGAUAGCUUAUGAAAACCACUUAUAGCUUAUAUGAAGAGAGUUUGAUUUUAUUUUAUCUUUUGUUAUUUGAUGUGAUUUAUGUUGGAAGUAGUUAUUCCCUACUUGUCAUUGACAGGGGAAAGCAAGCCAUCAGGGAGAUUCAGCUGCGCUUUGAUGACUGUGCUUAUCAAUACGAAAGUAGAUUUCCACUCGGGAAACUGAAUAAAUUCAAAGUCUGUCUAUAUAGUUUUUAUUAGCUACAAAUUAAGAAUGUAUGCCUUCAAUUUGCAGGAAUUGCAAUGCUGGUUGGAGCCGGCUUCUUUGGUUAUAUGAUGGCAUUCCAUGUUUCUUGCACUUAGCCUCCCUCAAAAUACUUAUUUUUAUCAAAAUAAACUCUUUUUUUCUUCUUUCAAGUUUCAAUAGUCUGGCUUUAAUAUAAUUCUUUCCUUUUUUUUGACAUUGUCUGCUGCAAUAUCAUAUACAAACUUGAGUCAGAAAAAGCAAAUCACGGUGAUGGCUAGCAUGAGGGUGCGGUCAAGUACUUCACCGGUGAGGUAGUAAAAAAAACCUUGAUCACGUAUGCGGUGUUGAUGAGUCCAACUUAAACAUAAGGAACACUAAAACUAUGUUUGAAUUGAUGGAAUAUGAUGGAGUGGAAUGAAAUGGUAUGAUAUAGAGUCAUGCUCUAUUGUUUUGAUUUGUUAAAAAUGAAUGAAAUGGUAUGGAACACAAUGGAAUCCAUUCCAUCCCAUACCACCGUUUCCUUUUAUUUUUCCUUCCCCUCAAUUUAGGGUGUAUUUAAUGGAAUGAAACAUUUUAAUUAAAUAAUUACUUUUAUCUCUAUUUUUAUUUCAUCGGUGAAAUAAUUCUUCAUCCACUUUCUUUCUCGUUUCUUUUUCUAUUUCUCACUUGUUGUAUGGUUGUGAUCUUCGUGUUGCUUCGUUUCUUGAAAAAAAGAUGUAAAAGUUAUAGAUUAUUUUAAAAGUCUUUGUUUAAUGUGUACAUGAAAACAAUGAAUUAAGUGCAUCACGUCAUUAAACAAACAAUGAGAAAGCCUUCGUUUAAUCUUUUAUCUCUAUGUUUUAAGAGAAAUGAUAUUUGUACAACCUUUAUGACAAUCACUUUUUUUUCUAUUUUUAUUGGACAAAAACAAUAGAGAGAGAAAGUAAAAGAGAGAGAAUAAAAAAACAAAUGAGUAUGAGAGAGAUGAUUGUUUCAAAAAUUGUCAAAAAGUGGUUGUCCAAAUAUCAUUUCUCAUGUUUUAAGUGGACCACGUCAUUGAACAAACAAUGAAUUUUUGAUAAGUUGAUUUACAUUUUGAUGUGUUUUUAUGCCUUUAUUGAAAUCUAUUUUCACGUGUUAUUGCCAAGUGGCCCUGAGCAUGGCCCGAGGGGGCGGCAGUCCAGGGGAUCAUAACUUUAGAGGCACCAAAAAAUAUAAUUUUACUACCUAUAUAUGUAUGUAUGUAUAUAUGUAUGUAUGUAUACUCCUAUAAAAAGAAUGUAAAAUGCUAGUUGCUAACAAAAUGAGAGGGAUGCUACAAAGUCAAAACUAAUAAAUGACAUUACUAACUAAAUAAAAUAUAAAAUAAAAUCAGUCAACUACAUGUACCAAAAAAUAAUACGUCCAUAAGUUUAGCAACUAAACUGAUGAGUUAAAAUCAAGUGAAUAAUCUAAUUGAGACGCUAAAAUUAAAAUAAUGAUAUGAAAUGUUAAGAAUAAUAAAGAGUCAGAUUUUUUACAAUUACAUAUUAAUAAUCACAAUAUUUCAACCGGUUUAUGAGUCUCUUUUCUUUCUAAUUCUUAUUCACUAACCUCUCCAUCUUUUUUUUGUUUUUUUUUUUUUAUAUGAAGGGAAGAACAUAAAUUGGAAGAAACUGGAGAAGCCGCCGUACACAAAAAUAAGGUUCUUUUCUUCUGAACUGAACUCAACAUGUCGAAGUGAAACUAGUUCCCUAAUAAAAAGGACGGAUAGUCAAACUAGGAGUACUUCUCUCAAUUCCACCCGUUAGAUCUCACCCCGCUUUCCUAAGCAACUUACUAACCGAUUGAUCAUUCCCAUUGAUUAUUAAAUAAUUAACAAACAAAUAUACACACAUUUUUUUUUAACAAGCCAAAAUGAAAUUUUAUUACCAAAAACAAUAGCAAUCUCUUAGCACAAGGUGUGCUUAAAAGACUACUACCAAUAUACAAAGAAACAAAACAAGAGGAUAAACUAUCCAAUGGUUAGACAAUGCCCAGAACUUGACCACCACAUAUGAGUUCCAAAAACAAAAGUAGCAUUUUUAGCUAUUUUUUUUUUUUUUUGGCUUAACUAUUAUUUUAUUGAAGAAAAAAAAAACUAUAUUCUUUUAUGAGAUUAAUUUUUACGGUCAAAUAAGAUAUUUGAGUUAAUGAAGUAAAUGAUCUAUUAAAAUUUUUAAUUUAAAUCCUUAUGAAAUAAAAUCAUUUUCAGUCAACAAUAUUGGUCCUAAAAAUGCUAAAUAAAAAUGUCACAUGAAUUAAAACAUGUGAUUUUAUUUUAUAUGGACUAAAAAUAGUAUUUGAAAUAUUUAGAAGUAUUGUUUGCUUAAUUAAUCCAAAAUAUUUUAAGAACUCUUAAUAUAAAAAAUAUAUUUUUAUUGGUCGUUCUUUUUAACGAGUGCAUAACAUGUGUUUACUACUUCCUUCCUGCAUCCAAAAUUAUAAGGGAGACAAUCAUAAAAAACAAUUGGAAAAAAAAAAAUAUUAUCAGGGAAAAAAUAAUUUUACACUUGUUAAGAAAAUCAAAAUAUCAUAAUUUAAAGUAUAAUUUUUUGUGUUCUUUAUAGAAUAAAUUUCAUGAGAAGAUGUAAUAACAAUUUUGAUUUAUUAUUGGGUAUAGAAAAUUUGAUAAGGAUAACAAAUUGAAUGCAAUUUGUAUUUAAUUUUAUAAGAAUACAAUUUAUUUAUUUUUUGAAAAGAUGAUUGUCUUGAAACGUCAAAAAAUUGCGUAAAAGAUGGUCCUUUUGUUUAUCAUUUUGGAUAAAAAAAAUGUAUUUUCUUUUUAUAAUUUGGGGCGAAGAGAGUAUUUUGUAGCAUUUUUAGAUAAACCACUUCAAGUAGUUUAUAUCUUAAAGUUUAUAGUUAAUCAUUUUUUUUUUAUCUUUGUUAUCUCAAUUAAAAAAAAUAUUAAUUAUCCGCUAUCAAUUAUUCCAUCAACUCGAAUUUGUAAGAGGGAUGAUAUUUGGACAAUUUGUUGCUCGACAACGUGUUCACAACGUAUAAAAAACUUAAAAACCAAUGAAUAGUAUAUAGACUGUAUAUUCAUACAUUGUCAGUUGUCAAAUUUAAUGUCAAUGAAUCAUAUUUUAGCAGUAUGAUUGUGGCCAUCAAAGACAAGCGGUUUGUAUGUAUCAGUAUACUUGGCAAUAAUUGCAGAAAAUUGUGUCAAAUAACCCACUUGAGUUGGCCUAGUUGUACGUGAUCUCCCUUGAUGUCUCAGGCAGUAGCGUUGCCAGGACCCUAAAGCAGGGGGUUCAAACCUUUGAACUUUAAUAUAUAUAUAUAUUAUUGCUUAAUUUACAUUGAAACAUACGAAUUUUUGCAGCAUACUCGGUCAUAUUCAAAUAAGAUGUUCCACCAGCACUUAUCUCUUCUUGUCCCAUCCAUUAAACAAAAGUGAAUAUUUAAAAGAUGAGGGAGAGCACAAUGGACAAAAUUUAGGAUAUGUGCCAAAAAAAUAAGUAUAAUGGUAUAGGUAAAGUUUGAUAAAAAAAUUUGUUCCAUUUAAGGAUCGAACUCAAAUUCAUUUGAAUAAUUCGUCCCUGUAGAGUUUAAUAAGUCCAAUUACUUGGUAAUAACAAUUAUUAUAUAUACAUGCACUAAACAUAAAUAUUCUAAUGAUUAUCCUUUUUGAUUAGUUAUAGUAAACAAUUAUGAAUUAUCAUGUGGUUUAUAUUUUAUUUAUUUUGAUUUUUUUAAAACUAAAAUAGAAUAAUAUAACUAAAAUUUAGUUUCUCCAACACAAGAAGUGAAUUGAAUUAAACUAAAAUAGUAAGCAAAACUAAUUUAGUCUCUUGAAAAUUCAGCCUCUUGUAAGCAAAACUAUAGAUAAAAAGCAAAAGACAAAAUUCAACAUAAAAUUAAAAUGUAAUUAUUUAAGUAAACUAAGAAAAGUGAAUGAAGAAAAGUAAAAAAGGUACAAUAAAGGAAACUUAUUUAAGAGCUAGUUAAUGACCAUUGGCUAAUAUCUUUUCAUCCGAACACAAAACAAACAAACUAAGCUAAGAAAGAAGCAAGCAGAGUGCAAUAUGUUGGUCAGAAGGUGCAGAGACGAAAAGUCAGGGGAUUCAGAGUGCAAAAAUACAACAAUUUCUGUGCAAUUUUUAGAAGGCCAGGGGGUUCAUGUGAAUCCCCUCAGGUACAAGUGGCUCUGUCCCUGAUCUCAGGUUCGAUUUUCUCUAAUGCCAAUUUCGAUGAGUUAAUUUAGCUAGUUUCAUUCGUGUCUGGCGCAUGACGAAUUAAACCGUUUAACGAAAUUCUUUCUUCCAAUUCACAUAUUUUGUUUAGGUCAAAAAGACUUCAUCUUAUAUUUUUGAGGUUGUACCUUUCAACUUAUUGUCAGAUUCGCCCUUAAAAAAGAAUUAUUGCUUAAUUUGACUAAGUGAAAUUAUUCCCUUUUCAAAAAUAAAUAAAAAAAACUAUCCUCCUUCAAAACAAAUAAAAUACAUGAUCUUGUAUGUCCGUUUGAACUGAUUAUGUGGUUUGAUUGAGCUUAGGUUUAUGUUCUCUCGUAUUUUAUAUUCUCUUUCAUUUUCAUUUUCAUUUUAAUAGUAUCUUAUAGAGGACCCUCUACGCACAGUUGCUUUGAAAGAAAAAAAAUGUUCCCCUACACUCGAACACUAACAUGGUACUUACCAAUGUUACCAUUAUUCAAAGAGAAGUGUUAUUUGAACAAUUAUUUGGUUGACAACUUAUGUGACAAUAAUAAUUUACAAAAGAAAAGUAGAUAUUUGCACGAAAACCAAAACAAUAGAGAGAUAAAAUAAUAAAUAAUAUGAGUAUUAAAGAAAAAAUUGUCUCAAAAAUUGUCAAAAAAAUGUUCAAUUAUCAUUUCUCUUACCCAAAUUAAAGGCUUCAAUAACAAACCAAACACACUUAGCAUACAUAUGGCCAACGCCGGACCCGACAGCGGCAACAUGAUAUCUGGCUUAAUCGCUCGCGCGGACGACGAGAUAUCACGCGUUAUCGUUCGUAUCGCCGAUAGCAUUGCACACAGAUUCAGGAAGUCCAACGCCGACCCCAACCGCGACAUACCUCACUCUCUUGCCCCCGCAUCAGCCGACGCCGAGAUACCUCCGUCUGUAAAUCUCACCGAUGAAGAGAUAAUAGAUCGCUUUGUCAUUCUCGCGUACGAACCGAUGGUUCGUAGUACCGUCAUAUUUGGAGGUUGUUACGUUGCCUUCGAAUGGAUAAAUAAAGGCUAUUUGCUCGAUUUGAUUUCCAUGAUUCAGGUAUUAGUGUUGCUUUCACAAUAUACUUUUUUAUUUAUUUUUUAUUUAUUUUUAUCUUAUUCUGAUUAUCUAAAUGUUUGUUUUCGUCUUAGGAGAUAUGCGAAGCACUGCUAGCUACCAUUGCUGCUCAGGUAAUUAACAAAACAAACCUUCUUGUGGAUCAUUAUUUUUUGUUAAGAUAAUGGUUCUGUUAUGUUCUGAUGUUAACAUAUUCAGCUGGAGCAAAAGAAUCCUUCAGAUAGGUGUCGUAGUUUGUCCAGAUAUAAUUAUUCAAGAACUUCACAUUUCAGACAGGUGUCGUAGAUCUAACUCAUUCUCUGUUCAUAUGGAUUGUAAGAUAGUAUUUAUCUCUAAAUUUUCACUUACAGGGUCUUAAAUCCAUCAAAAAAACCUACAUUCAACAAACCGCUGUCACUGGCUUUAGACAGGUUAACUUCCGAUUCUAUCAUAUCAAAUGCUUCCACUUUUCUUCGCUGAUGUUCCAUAUAGUCAAAUAAAUAGAUGCUGUAAACAUGGAUAGUUAGAUGCCUCUUUCUUGAGACCAUUGAAAUCUUUUUGUAUAUUCUCCUUACCUCCUCCAUUCAUGGCAAAUUCUUCUACAUUUUGGAAUUCUCUCUUGAUGAAUAUGUAUUUUCUUCUCGAAUUCUUCCAUUAUUAAAUCAACGCAAUGUGCAGCACAAGAUGUCGUUAUUGUGCAACAUGUUGUGGCCUGAACUUCUUUGCUUUAAAUACUUGACUAUAAUAUUAUGAUAUGAUGGUAGUUUGAAUCCUAAGCCAUGUUUUGCAACAAAUUCAAGAUAGCACGAAAUUCUUCACUCAUUGCCACAUUGAAAGCUAUGACAUUGUUCUAGAAAAACCUUGCAAUAUUAUUAAGUUUUUAACUUUUAAUAAUAUCUGUGGGUGUUCAAGAUGAAUCCACAUUUUUCCUAAAUGCUUAGCCACUAAUUAGGAACCUAUGCUUAGCACUACUUUAAAGGCACAAAUACUAGAGGGAGAGGCAUGCAUAUUGCAAGAGAAGACAAGGAUUGACAUUAAAAUUUAGAAUAUAAUAGUUGUUGCUAAUGUUACUACUGUCAAUGCAAAUAAUUUUUUUACUGUCUCUGCAAAAAAAUCUCAAUAAUUGCUUGGUCAAGGAGAGAAUGGAAACCAUACUCAUUUAUCAACAGCUUCCUCCACUGCAACACUUCUAGCGUAGCAUGUUAGAUUUAGUUGAUUUUAACUAUAGCUAAAAUCAAUAAUAUCCUUAUCUAAGGCUCAAACUUUAGUAGAAUUGUUGCUUCUUGUUUUGUUGGAUCCGUUAAUUAUACCAAUUCACAUUCACUUUAUGUCAUUCAAUAGACUGGUGUACCGAGUAACCCUUUGAAUUUUGUUUUGUCCAUUGGAUCUGCCAACUGCAGGAAGUAGAGCAGCAUCAGGAAGGCACAUCUAGAGCUGUUGUUCCAAGCAGUAGAUCUACUGGUAUGUGUACAUCAUGUUUUUAAUUGACCUUGUUUGUGGAGUUGAGGUGCAGAAUUUGAUCCCUUAAAGGAAGAAAAUUUGCAAAAAGUGAAGUGUUUCAAUUGCUUGUUUUUCGACUCCAGAAAUGAUAGAAAAUGGCAAUAUAAACAUGUACCCUUUUGGUGUUUAUAGCUUAAAGGUCUAUUGUACGUAUGAUUUUAAUGCUUUGUUGUACUGGUAGUAUGAGUCGUUUACUGUGCCAUGUUUCUAACUGGAGUUGAUUAUCAAUCUUGAACAAACUAAUUAAACUGAUGAUGAUGCUGUUGAUGUUAAUGUUGUUGUUGUUUGGUUCAGCCUUCACUUUACAAUAUGCAUAAAGAUGAAAAUAAAUAAGUUUUUUUGAUGCUAUGAAUCUUUUGUAUCCUGCUUGUUGUUACUAUGUUGUAAUUAGUUAUUAUCUAUGUUGUGUUGUGUAAAGUAGAGAGUGGGUGUAUAAAUAUAAUAGAAAUGAAUACAUGAAAAAAAAGUUUCAAAACUUAAGUAUUUAUAUUGGGAAGUGAAGAGAAAAUUUCUUCAUAUGUUGAGAGAAAAUGGGAAACAACAACAAGACUGACAAGGAAUAUGGUUGACGCCUUUGACAAUUCAUGAGGUGUUGAUUAGACAGUGGAAUUAAAUGCCAUUUUGAAAUAGAUUUGGUUCAACAAUUUAGUUCUCAAAUUGGAAAAGUUAGAACAAUCUCUCUGUGAUAUUGCUCAUAUGACAUAUAAUGAAGAGCUACAUACGGAAUAAUCUUUGGCACACUUGCUCUAUUUCUACAUGUAGUUAGUUGUUUAUCUAUAAUGUUUUCUAUGUAGUUGAUGAUCCCUAGAGUUUGUCUUUCUCCUUGCUCUUUUUGCUUAUUUUACUUUUUUUAGGCCAUUGUUGCUUAUUUACUUAUAUUUCAUCUUCUUUCCCAUUAGCUGUAUAAUUUCUACUAUUGCCAUUUAUUUGAGGGUGAGGUACAUGAUUCCCUCGGUCUUCACAUUCUGUUCAUGAAGCAUAGACGUGUGUAAAUCAUAUAUCAUAUAUAAAGGGAAAAAGGGAAAAUUACAUUACAAAGGCUUUAUUUGCAUUGACAACUAAAUAGACAAUCGCGCGUUUAGUUAUUUAUACCAUAGUUGAUUCUCUUCUAUGUGCAUGGUUUGCAGAGUUGAUCUCUUUUGCCUUUUCGAAAUGUAAUUAUAUUCUUGCACUCGGUAGAAACCAUUGCUCUAUAUUUUUAUUAUUUGUUGGGUACCUGAAACUAGUGCUGGAUUGUGAUGCUUUUUCUGGUUUCAAAUUUCAAGCUAGAAUGAUUCCUUUCCUUUUUGAAUUUUGCAAACCCCUUUAAGCUGGGAAUUUUGAAAUUAUUUUAGUUCUCACAUAAAUGUCAAUCAUGAAUUUUCGGUACCGAAUCAUUUUAUCUAUUAACGAGUGUUUGUCUUAUUUUUUGUGUAUGCUACUUAGAUCUUGCUCCUUAUAAUUGUGUUAAAUUAGUAUGGAAAGUUGAUUAUUAUUACAAUCAAAUUUUCAAAUUCAUUAGCUAUUUGUUUUCCUCCUAUGAUGCAGGUAAAGAGAAACAGAUUAAGAGAUGCGAAGUAUGUUCUAGAGUUGAUAAUGGAAAAUGAAGGUUGUCAUUUCUAUAACCGUUGAUUGUUUUUUUUUUUGUAACUACUACACUAUUUGGUAUUUAGCUUGAAUGUCUAUGUCUUAUAUGGUAUUUUAUGGUAGACUUGAAUAUCCAAAAGGUCCCUCUAAGUAGGGGGUCACUACGAUUGUAGUCCUGUAAAAAGUUUUUCUUUCAAUUACUCAUUGCAAUCAGUUAUUACAAUUUAUCUAUUUAUAUAUUAUAUAAAAUCAUAUACUACUGUUGUAUAAGAUUACUUUUGAGUCAAAAUUUUGAUACACUAGCAACGUAAAAUAUUUUGUUAUCAACCAAUCACACGUCACUUUAUGUAUGCCUUUUCAAGUACACAAUAAAAGUCAAACAGUUUUAGUGAUUCAACAACAUUUAGGAAUUGAUUGAUUGUGUAAAAAUUACUUAGGGCAAUGCAUAUGAUUUGAAUCUAUUUUGAAAAAUGAUACUGGUACAACUUUUUUGUGAUAAUUUUUAAACAACUUUCUAAUACUUGGAUUAUGUUCUUGUCUUCUCUAUUGUUUUUAUCAAUAAAAAGAAGAAAAAAAGUUGAUUUUACACAUAUCAUUACUUCUCUAUAUUAUGUCCGUGUUUUCCUCAAGAAAAAGAAAAACUACUAUGUCUGUGUUCCAUAUAUUUCUUGAUAGAUAGAUUUCUCGAUCCAUCUGUGAAUUCAAAAUUGUGUUACUAGACUUGUGAAUUUUUAAUUAUAAAGAAUAUAUUUUUUUUUAAAUUGUUUCUAUGAUGCUAUGCAGUAAAAACAAAAUAAAAUUUAUCUAUCCAAAGGUUGAAGAAAACUUUGGUAAUACUUGCAACUGGGAAUCGAUAAACAAAAUUUUGAGGAGGUAAGGCAAAUAGGUAAACGCUCACAAAACUUGAACAAGAAAAGUAAGGUAAAGAAAAAGAACACAUGGACCUGUGUUCAAAAAUUUAAGGAGAGUGCCAACGGCCAAUGCCAGUACGAUUAACAGCCAUUUACGUGCGUUUUUUAUGAAAUUAUGUAUGUAAUAUUAAGCAUUUUCCUUAAUAUUGAUGAUGCCCCUAAGAUAUAUAAUUCGAAUCUGUAACUGUUUAACACGAGUCCUAUUUAUAUACACGAAUCUUGUAGCUGUUUAACACGAGUCCUAUUUAUAUACACGAAUCUUGUAGCUUAGCCAUUCACAUAAGUGUCUUCUAAUAUUUCUCAACAUAACUCAUGGACAUCCAACACUAAUAUAAUUCUUAACACCUUUAAUGUUAAAGGCAAUGUAGCUUAGCCAAGAGCAGGCUAGGCUGCAUCCUGAUCAAGGUAUGGAAUGAUCGUGACCCAUUCACAGAGCCUGUCUUUUAACCUGACGCAUUCUUCCUUGCACAGACAGCCCAAACGCCACGGCGACUCCAACUGCAAUACAAUAAUCAUUAAACAAAGAAACCAAAGGCAAACUUAUAUUUUCUAGUAAUUUAAAUUAAUUUUUUGCGGAACACCAAAGCAGAACUAGUCAAAAGUUGAAUAAAAAAUUCAAAUGAUCGGUGGCCGACUGAAUAUCCAUAAAGAUAGAAAGCCCAAACAUGGUCAGCUCUCUUUCAUGCCGUUGCCCCAUCCUUUGACUCCGCUUUCUGGAGGAACCAGAAAGAUGGCUCCCAAUUAGGUCCUAUAUUGUAGGAACUUGGUAACGGCCAUUUAUUUAUUCAUUUGCUACAUUUUCAUUUUGUUGAUAAUCCAUUGGCUAGCUAUAAUCUAAAUUCAAACUCCAAGAACUAUUUACCACAAGAAGAAAUAAAAAGAAAGUGAAACAAAACUACAUGGAUGAACGAUGGAUUCAUAUCAUAUCUUUCAACAACACAAGAGAAGUAAAACAAGCUAAACGGAAACACUGAUAGGGACCAGUUCAGUUGCUUAACACCUCAAGGUUAUAAGUGACAAACCAUUGGAAAAUCAAAAUGAGUAUAAAACCAAAAGAGAGAACACGUGAACCACGACAAAUCAUAUCACCGAAAAAUUAAACAGGUUAAUAGGCUCUUUUUAUUUAGUUAGCAUGAUAGAUUGAAAAACUUAAUAUAUACAAAGUCAAAAGCAAUUUAAUGAAGAAACUAACAAGUAAACCUAAAAAAUAAUAUACCUGAAACAAACAUAAGAGAUCGAUCUAUGAGUCUGUGGUACUGCUUGCAUGUUUUUCUACCUUCAGUUUUUGGAAUGUUUAAAUGAGGGUGCUCUGCAGCCGUUACAAUUUGGUGAAAUAUAUUAUUGGAAUCCCCCAACUUCACACUGAUCGGCAUGGGAGCCUCUACUCCAAUGUACUGACUAACCUACAAGCGACAAGAAAGAACAUAUGCCAUGAUUAUAUAUGCCAUGACUAACCUACUAACCUACAUACUAUAUAAUUAAUCUUAAUCAGAAACUUCGGAUGAAAUUGUAAUUCCAAGAUGUGUCACUCACCACGAUAAAUAUCUAUUUAUCUAACCCAUCCAGCAGUUAUGUACAGCAAUAUGCAUGUUCAAUUAUGUAUAUGAUCAUUCAAAUGAAUAAAAUAAUGAAAAAUACCAUAGUUGUCUCUUGUAUAGCCAUUGUAAAUGAAUCCUGAUCAUCAUUAACUGCAACUGUAAGACAGGGCACCUGAAAGCCGGUGUCUUCUCCAUGACCAGCAAUUUUUGACAAGAGUUCAGAUGAUGUCUUCCAUGAAGAAUCAGACCUAAAAUUAAUAUUUAGUCAGCUGAGCCUGAGCUCUAUACAACCAACAUUUUUGCAGGCACUUAGUAUAAGUUGCCCACAAUCCAGACCACAUGAACAUGAAAUUACAGUUAACUAAGAAGCCCACAGAUGAGUUAAUUUGAACAUAUUGAAUACCAUGCAAACACAUAGUGACUUAUAAAUCUUAUUUUAAAGUUGUUUGAAGCUUAUGUUUGUACUCCUUUCGAUUUCAAUUAUAAAAAGAAAAAUGGUUUAGUGCUCUAAAAUAUAAGUUGAAUGAUGCCAUCCCUAAUUAAUAUAGUUUUUACUUUGCAAUAACCCUUUUGUUCUCGUGGAACAUGUUCCUAUGAAGGGUAGUGUAGGAACUACAAUUACUUUUUUUUUAUAACAUUAAGUAAAAUCAAUCCUUAAUUACUGUAUAAUUAGGUAUUUUGAUUUAUAAUAGAGACCACCAGGAGUAAUUUACAAUUGUUAGUUUGAAAAAUCAACCCAAAAUUUGCAGUCUUCAGCCUAUAAGUUAUUUUAGGAAGUUCAUCCAAAUGCACUACGGAGUUUUUCUAAAUUCAAGUUUGUUAUGAGCUAAAAAUCUAUGGAAACAAGUUAUAAUUUUUUAGUUUAUAUGCAUCAAAGGCACCAGGUAAUAAUUUAAUAGUGAAACCUAUGCUUAUAAUAACAUGAAAAAAUGUAAUCCAUAAUUUCUAUCAUAUGCUGAUAUUAUGUACUUCAAUAUGUCACCUGUCAUGAACAAAAACUGCAAUGUCACAUGAGCCCAGAGACUCCUUGUUUGCUAGCAGCUUUGUAACUCCACCUUCAGAAAUCUCUCUCAGCACAAUAUAUUUUUUGUUUUCCUACAAACAAAAUGGUAAACAAUGAAUUGGAAGAUAUAAGUAUCAAUAUGUACAAAAUGAAUACAUCAAAUGAAGACUUUGGUGUGAGAAAAGUUGAAAGAACUGAAGGGUGAGUUUGGAUAAAAAAAACUUAUUUGCAGCUUAUUACAGCACAAGUGCUUAUGUAUAAGCUUGCAUAAGCUAUUUUUGUAGCAAAAGGUGAAAUAACGUUAAAUUGUUUGUAUUCUACAAGUUAUUUUUAUAACCUAUAUGUGAGAACUUAUGAAAAGUUGAAAAAAUCUUAUGAAAAUUGUCUUCAAUAUUUUCAUAAGUUCUCCCAAACAGUCUCACAAAGCUUAUGUCAGUAGAUAAGCUCAAAUAAGCCAAAUAGCCAAUUCAAAUAGGCCCGAAAUGUCUUUCUUUGACACAGUAAGAAGCUAUUGUCAAAUGUCAAUCGAGUAUCAAUUACCGUAGAAAUAUCAACAACAUUGGCAGCAAAACGAUCUUCAUUUGUAGCUGGAUUGUAAGCUUCAGAAUAUGGCCUGCAUAAUUAAUUUGAACAACAACAAGAUGAUGGUCAAUAAUUUAAUUUGUGUUACCAGGAGCGUCAAGGUAACAACUAAAAUACCUUCCAAUGCAACAAUUCAAUAAUGCAGAUUUUCCAGCUUUCAUAGGCCCAAAAAUGAAGCACUGCAAUACAUUUCUUUCUGAAUGUUGUUUUCUGCGAUCCAUGUGUCGCCUCCUAGUCACACGGAUAGCAGAUGAUGGAUCACCAGGAUAACCAAUGUACAUCAGAUUCUCCACACUAAAGGUCGGGUUUAGAAGUGUCAUGAGUGCCCACUGUUUGGAAAACAUAUAAUAUAAAAAUCAGCGGUGAUGCAAAUAAAAUACUAUAUGCAGGGAAAAGAUACACAGACCAGACGUACAGUCAUACAUCAUGUAAAACUGAGGCAACCAUGAUUCUCAAAAUACUUUUCAAAUAUAGUGAUAAAUAUUCCCACCAUUUUUCUAUAAACAUUGUUCAACAAAAUAUAAGGAAGAGGGCCUAGAGACAAAGAUAAAUGACUUGUGCACUGCACCUCUGACAAAAAUGCAUCAAGUGACAAUCCUCCAGAUGCAUUCCUUUCUACAGCAUCCUUGUAUGGAUUUUCAAUCCAGGGACUGCAAUUAAAAAUUUUAAAAAUAUCAAAAAGCAUUGCCAAGAGUCCUAAUUGACAUUCAGACUCGGGAAAGGCAUGCCUAUAAAAGAUGCCAUAGCUGGGACUUUGUUAAAACAGUGAAGAAGCAAAGUCAGCAGUAUAAACCACAUCCUUAAAAAUUGAAUGUACAUUUGAAAAAUUCCACAACAUAAGAAAGAUUACAAUCAACCUACCUUUUUGGGGCACUAGAAAACAGUUCUUCAAGUUCAUGGGGUUGCAGCACCUUAUCCUGGAGGAAGGAAAAGAUAUAAAUGAUUUGAAAAUUGUAUAACGAUAAAGUAACUUAAAAUAAUGCCCAAAAAUGAUUGGGCAGAAACAUGACUUACAGAAUCGCCAUCAAAUUCAUCAAAGAUUGUCUCCAAGAAAUCAACUGCUUCAUUUGUCAAUUCAACACUCUGCAUACAUUAAACCAAUGAGAAUAGAAUAAGUUCCAUAUAUUGUCAACAAAUUGAAAUACAAACAGGUAUAACAUAUAGAGAACAUAAUACAAGAUGCCACAAUUUAUCUCAAAAGAAACACCUGAUCAGGUGCAAGCUUCAAAGGCGGAAAUAAAUCAGCAGCAAGCUUGACAUCAUAAUUAUAUCCAAACUUUUUUAGCACAGUCCAUGUUGCCUCAAGAGGCCCUUUUUCUAUGAAAAGGGCAUGAAGAAAUAGAAAUCCUGUUGAAGUAAGUCCUCGUUCAUUCACGCCUUCUGACAAAUUCUUUUUCACAACCUCCUUUACAUCCAAAAUUUCAUGUGGCUUCAGAGGAGCAUUGAAACAUCUAACCUGUAGAUAGUUUAGUUAGAUUUUGCACAAAUUUGAUACGCAGGUUAACUUACCACAACAUAAGCUACCAUUACGUGAUGUGAACAAGUCUAUAUUCAAGCUAGAAGGUGUGAGACUAUUAUACUCGAAUAAUAAACAAGCCACAAUUUGAAGUUUAAUAUGAGAAGGAGAAAUUAAGACCUGAAAAGCAUUUAGUUCAGCAUUACUAAGAGCCCCAUCUUUGUCAUGAUCACAAAGGGUAAAAAUCCGCUUCAAAGCCCGCACACAACGAGGCGUUAGAGUUUGUGACUCCUGAUCAUGUAAAGGAGCCAUGGGAUAGAGAGCAGCCUUUUGUGCAAAGAAGAAAACUUCCCGGACCUUCAACAAGGAAACUUAAUUAGAAUUGUGUCACCCUUAAAAAGAGAAAAGAGGAAUUUGAUUGAAAUAAUAUGAGUAAUAGAUACCUCGAAUGUCUUAUACGAUGAACACUCAACACAUGCUUGAAUUUCGCAAAACUGCUGCAUUAGUGGUGACAUCACCUGUUCUAGGCUCACCUGCUGAUUUUCAUCUAGCAGAUCAAGCUUACAACCAGCCACUAUAACCGGAGCUUUGACCUGUUCAUGAUGUACAAAUAUCUAUCUAUGUCAAACAUACAUUUCCUAGGAAUGCAAUCAAAAAAACGAAGAACAAGAGAGACGAGAACCUCUAAUUUUCGAAGACGAGGGAGCCAAAACGUGGUUAGAUUUUCAAGUGUCUCGGAGCGAUCACAUGCAUAAGUAAGGACAACUGAGUCAGCCCGCUGUAAUUCUUCAGCAACUUUAUCAGUGUCCUCGGUACUACAAACAAAACAAGCACAAGCACAUGCACAUGCAUACGUGAAGGUAUUCAAUCAGAUUUCCAGCAAAAAAAAAAACAUAUGCAUUAAUUCGCAGCAUUUAUUUCUAUAAUUGGGAAAGUAAGAAACAUUUGAUUAAAUGUGUGUCCAUUAUUGGAAUUUGAGGAAGAUAAGAACGAAGGAAUGAACGUUACCGUGAAGAAGUGUCAAUGAUUUUGAUCGGGACACCAUCACAAUGUAGAAAUCGAGGCGCGCCGUGAACGAGGCUGGUUUUACCGGUUCCACUGUCUCCGGCGACAACCACAUGAACUACGUCACCACCGCGUCUCACUCCCACCAUUGAAGAAGAAACCCUCCCUCUGUGUGUGUGAUUGUUUUGUUUGGCGAAUCCAAGGAAUUGGGGGAAAAAAACCCCGCUAACUCUAAAGUACAGUGUGUCAAGCACUAAUUUAAUUGUUAGUCUUUUUUGUGAUAUUUUUUUCAAUUUUGGCAUAUUACUUUUCAUAAAUGUGAUAGAAUAGAAUAUAAUACAUUAUUUGCUAAAAAAAAAGAAUAGAAUUAUUUUAUACACCCUCUUGUCACUAUUAUUUUAUACACCUCAUUUGUAGAUUAGAGAAUGCUAUUCAAUACAAAAUAUUAAGUAAAUUAACAUUUUGAUUUUUUGAAGAAAAACGUUAAGAUGACUAUAUGUUAAAAAAAUUAUACAUAAUAAGUUUGUUUUAUAAGUUGUAUAUUCAAAUCCAGUGGUUAAGAUUUUAUGAUGUUCUAAUCAUACCUAUAAAAUUUAGUGGUUGAGGUUUUAUAAGUUGUAGUAAUGUUAUGAAUUUUUAAACAAUUUAUAAUUAAUUCACGCAUUAUUUAAAAUUUCAUAAUUUAGUGGUUGAGGUUUUUACGAUGUUUUAAUCAUACCUAUAAAAUUAGGUAACAAAAUUUGACUCGUGAUUCUAUGCUUAUUUAGUAAAAAUUACAAUUUUGUAUGUUUUGAUUGACAAAUUAAAAUAAAUUGAGGUGUAAUCUGAAUGCUACGAAACUUAACAGAUUCUCUUUAUGUAUUUCUAUAGAUAUAUGCCUUCAAAAAACCAUCUCAAAAUUUGAUUUCCAGAUCAAGAAGUCUGUUUUUUUUUUUAUAUAGUUUUUUGUAUCUUAAAAAUUCAUAAUUAAUUUAUCCCUUGUCAAAAAAUUAUAAUUUUGUGUUGAAAGUCUUAUUUUAAUGUCCUAAAUCUGUCUACAAAAAACCAUGAAAAAAUUCAACAAGUAGAUCACUUUUUUGGAUUUUUAUUUCAACUGAGAAAAAUAGGAUGCCAAAAAUAGAAAGAAUCACAAGUUAUAAAGUUGGAAUCUACGAGUUUUGUUUUACACGAUCAUUUUUCAAAUUUUGUGUAUAUAACAUCAUCAAUUUAAACAAUUAACCCUUAAAAUCCUUCAAAAAAAAAACCUUAAAAGAAUAGUGUGUGUGUGAGAGAGAGAGAGUAACUCAUAAAAUACUCUUACGAGGUAUUGAUGUAUUUAUCUGUAUCAUAAAUAUAAAGUAAAAGAUGUUUGAUUGGAUGUGGAGAAAAUGAUAUUAAUUAGAUGGUGAAAUUGAAAAGAAAGAAAAAAUCUUGUAUCGAAAAUUGAAAAUGUCAGUUAUUUAUAACAAGUUUUAUUUACAAAAGGUUGAUUAUUUUGGGACGGAAGGAAUAACAUGUACAAUAAGAGCAUAUGCUAACUAAGCAACUUUAUAUCAUACUCUAUUUCAAAAGUUGUGUAUUCAAUUUUUUUUUUUUUUACAAAAGUAUUCAAAUUGUUAAAAUUAUUAAAAUUGCUCUUUUCAAUACAAAUUUUAUACUUAUAAGUUUCUUAUAAUGCGACCUUUUGGCACAAGUUGGCAGGACUAUUUUUAAAAUUUCAAGUUCCUAGAAAUUUGGGACUUCAAAUUUGCGAAAUACUAAAUCACUCUCUUAAAUUGUUUAACAUCAAUCAAAGUGCUACAUCAUCAAAUAACUCGAUUAAAGGUGUUGAUAUCUCACAUUAAGUGACAUUCUAGUUUGUUUAUGAUGAUGCUACAUAUAUCAUACAUAAUAUAUUGAAAACCAAAAAUCCAACGGUUAUAUUUUAUUUCUUCUCUAUUUAUCUUCACUUAGUUUUCAGAUUUGAAAUUCUACAAAUUCAAAAAUUACACCAUCCAAAUCUCUUUCCUUUUUGUUUGGAGAGAUAGAAAAUAUGGAACAAGGACGGGAAGAACAUGCCCUUUGGAUAUGUAUACUAUUGUUUUUUUAUUAUGUACCAUCACGUGUUUAAAAGUGCAGGAUGUGGGAUUGUGAUGUUCAGUGAGUAAAUCACUAAUUAUUUUUGGGUAUGUCUAACAUUAGUCAAAAUUUUAAUCCAUCAAAUAAAUCGAUUAAAAUGGUUGAUUUGUCACAUUAAGUGACAUUGCGGUUUUUUCACGUUGAUGUCACGUCAUACAAUGUUUUUUGACAAUAAAACAACACAACAAAAAAACAUAAAAGAUAAAUGUUUACAAAUGGUAGAGAUUUUGGGAUUUAAAAUCACAUCUUAAUGAUGAGUAAACCAACUUAGCUUAAGACCUUAGAAUGUUCUCUUUUUAGCUUUGUCUUUAGUGCAGGAGAUAAGAAAGUUGUAUGGGUCACUCAUGUUCAUGAUUUACAAGGUUACUUGACAUGAAACAUUGCUUCAGUAGUUCCAUUUGCGGAGAGUAAACACAUUACUUAGGAAAACAUGGGAUCAUAAUCAACAAGUUCAGUUUCCUUGUAGGAAAAUAUUUAUAUAUAUAUAUAUAUAUAUAUAUAUAUAUAUAUAUAUAUAUAUAUGCAUCUUUAAUUUAAAUGAAAUCAAGAUUUUAAGAAAAUUUAUAUAAAAGGACAAUUUUGAUAUUAUCAAAAACUUUUUAAAAAAAUUGGGUGUAAUCAGAAAUAUAUAGGGUGUGAAUAGAAAAACUCGUCAUAGCUAGUAAAUGACGUUACUAACUAAAUAAAAUCAGUCAACUACAUGUACCAAAAUAAAAUCUUGUAGUUUUUUUUUUCCAUGUUUCUUGCACUUAGCCUCCCUCAAAAUACUUCUUUUUAUCAAAAUAAACUCUUUUUUUUCUUCUUUCAAGUUUCAAUAGUCUGGCUUUAAUAUAAUUCUUUCCUUUUUUUGACAUUGUCUGCUGCAAUAUCAUAUACAAACUUGAGUUAGAAAAAGCAAAUCACGGUGAUGGUUAGCAUGAGGGUGCGGUCAAGUACUUCACCGGUGAGGUAGUAAAAAAAACCUUGAUCACAUAUGCGGUGUUGAUGAGUCCAACUUAAACAUAAGGAAUACUAAAACUAUGUUUGAAUUGAUGGAGUGGAAUGGAAUGGUAUGAUAUAGAGUCAUGCUCUAUUGUUUUGAUUUGUUAAAAAUGAAUGAAAUGGUAUGGAACACAAUGGAAUUCAUUCCAUCCCAUACCACCGUUUCCUUUUAUUUUUCAUUCCUCUUAAUUUGGGGUGUAUUUAAUGGAAUGAAACAUUUUAAUUAAAUAAUUACUUUUAUCCCUAUUUUUAUUUCAUCAGUGAAAUAAUUCUUCAUCCCCUUUCUUUCUCGUUUCUUUUUCUAUUUCUCAAUUGUUGUAUGGUUGUGAUCUUCGUGUUGCUUCUUUUCUUGAAAAAAAAGAUGUAAAAGUCAUAUAUUAUUUUAAAAGGCUUCGUUUAAUGCGUACAUGAAAACAAUGAAUUAAGUGUAUCACGUCAUUAAACAAACAAUGAGAAAGCCUUCGUUUAAUCUUUUAUCCCUAUGUUUUAAGAGAGGUGAUAUUUGUACAACCUUUGUGACAACCACUUUUUCUCUAUUUUUAUUGGACAAAAACAAUAGAGAGAGAAAGUAAAAGAGAGAGAAUAAAAAAAAAACAAGUGAGUAUGAGAGAAAGAGGAUUGUUUCAAAAGUUGUCAAAAAGUGGUUUUCCAAAUAUUAUUUCUCAUGUUUUAAGUGGAUCACGUCAUUAAACAAACAACGAAUUUUUGAUAAGUUGAUUUACAUUUUGAUGUGUUUCUUAUGCCUUUAUUGAAAUCUAUUUUCACGUGUUAUUGCCAGGUGGCCCUGAGCAUGGGCCGAGGGGGCGGCAGUCCAGGGGAUCAUAACUUUAUAGGCACCAAAAAAUAUAAUUUUGCUACCUAUAUAUGUAUUUAUGUAUGUAUACUCCUAUAAAAAGAAUGUAAAAUGCUAGUUACUAACAAAAUUAGAGGGACGCUACAAAGUCAAAACUAAUAAAUGACAUUACUAACUAAAUAAAAUAAAAUCAGUCAACUACAUGUACCAAAAAAUAAUACGUCCAUACGUUUAGCAACUAAACUGAUGAGUUAAAAGCAAGUGAAUAAUCUAAUUGAGACACUAAAAUUAAAAUAAUGAUAUGGAGUGUUAAGAAUAAUAAAGAGUCAGAUUUUUUGCAUUUGCAUAUUAAUAGUCACAAUAUUUUACCCGGUUUAUGAGUCUCUUUUCUUUCUAAUUCUUAUUAACCUCUCCAUCUCAAUUUGUAAAAAAAAAAAAAAAAAUCUACUCAUCUCAAUUAUGCAACUAUAUAAUAGUCAAACAAAUUUUCACUUUUGAGGAAUCAACAUUGAAUUAUGAUCUAUGUGUGAUGUUUUGAUUAGGGAUGGCAAUUCGACCCAAGCCCAUCGGGCACCCGCAAAAAAUACCCGCAAUGGGUGGGUAAAUACCCGCACUUAUGGGUAUGGGGACGGGCUCGGGUAAUUACCUGCAAACUUUAACGGGCAUGGGCACGGGCACUCUAAUGCCCAGCCCGCAUAUAUAUAAAUAUAAUAUUAUAUAUAUAGUUAAUUGUAACAUUUUUACAAGUAUCUAAGUGGUUAUGACUCGUUUGUCAAUGAUAAUGAUUCAAAUUUUGAUUUUUCAUAUAAACUUUGAAUGCUUUUGAUUUGGCAAAAUACUAUUAUUUGCAAAAUUUUAUGUAUUGAUUUAAAUUCAGUUAUGUUUCUUUUCUUUUUUAUUGUUUUUUGUAUUAAAGUGCGGGUAAUGGGCGCGAGUACGGGCAUUUAGAUGCCCAUAGGCCAUGGGGACGGGCAGUAAAAUUGUUGCCCACGAGGGUAUGGGUUCGGGUACUGACAUUUUUUACAAACGCCGGUAUGGGGACGGGCAUUAUAGUACCCUGCCCAUUGCCAUCCCUAGUUUUGAUAAACAUGUUGUCUUUAGUUAAUUAAACUUGUAGACUUUGGCACAUGGAUCCUAGUUUAGAGCUAAUUGAUUCACAUUUCAAAAAUUCAUACUUGUGUUCUUUUUGUACAAUGUCAAAUGAAAUGUUUAAUAGUCUUUCCAUUCAUAUCUCUUAAUCUUAUCAUUUUUUGUAAAAAUUUUCUUUCUAGGGGCACAACUCUCUUGAUUCGCCCAAGACAUCCAAAUUUGUAGGGCCGACCCUGGUUAUUGCUUUUGUAUAUCUUUAUUAAAAUCCAGUGCAUCAUCUAAUCAGCCAAACUAUUUGCAUUUUCGAUAUGUUAUAUUACAUUUCAAUUAAAAAUAGUAGAAAAUCUUCAUACAUACUAAACUUAUUAAAUUCAAAAGUAAGUGUUAAAAUCAAAGAGAAGACAACUUUAAAAUUUAACAAUUUUAAUUUCAAGUAAUAGUUAUACAAGGGUAAUAAUGGAAUAAGAAUAUCAUAAUCUAUUCCAUUCCGGUCACUUUCUAAACAAUGGAAUGAAAAGUUUGUUCCAUUCCGUCGUACAAUACCUAAACAAUAGAAUGCAGUUUUUGUUCCAUUCCGCUCCAUUCCAUUCCUUUUCAUUAUAUUUCAUUCCGUUCCGUUUCGUUAUGUUCCGUCAAUCCAAACAGAGCAUAAGGGAUAGAGAAAGACUUGCUUGGACACAAGCUUUUAAACACAUCAUUUAGGCACUCACACACAAAAGUAUAUUUCAUUUAAUUAUUUAAAAAAGAAAAUUAUUUAAUUAUUUUCUCUCUCUACAAUUUUUCAAUUAUGUAUGUGUGCUCAAACCAAGUGCUCAAACCCUUGUGCCCAAUUAAGUAUUUUCCUAAGGGAUAAUCUUUGGCACACUUGCUUUAUUUUUAUAUGUAGUUGUUUAUAUAUUAAUGUUGUCUCCAAUAACUUCUCCGCCAAUAUAUUUUAUUUAUGCUAAAAUUGAAAAUGUUUAUUGUAGUUGAUGAUUCCAAGAGUAUGUCGUGAAUGAGAGUCUUUCUGCUUGCUGGAGAAUAGUCCAUGUAAGUUAUGUUGCAAGUUUCUCAGUAAAAAAUAUAUUGUUGCUUAUUGCUUUUUACUUUAGAGUGAGAUACAUGAUUCCCUCAGGUCUUCACAUUCUGACAAUGAAGCAUAAAUAUAUAUAAAUCAUAUGUCAUCUAUAAAGUGAAAAAGGGAAUAUUACAUUACAAAGGUUUCAUUUGUGAUGACAACUAAAUAACUAGUCAUUUGUUUUAUUUUUUGAAUUACAAAGUAGUUAGUUUGUUAGAUUAAUAUUUACUCAUUCGUUUGAGGACCUCCAACUCCUUAUCCCUUAGCUCAAACCGGUUGAUUCUUUUCUAUGUGCAUGGUUUAUCUCUUUUGCCUAUUUUAUAACAUAUAGUUGUUAUAUUCUUGUACUCGGCAGAAACCAUUGUCUAUAUUUUUUACUUUGUUGGGUACCUGAAAUUGAGAGUUACGAUCCUCUCCACUGUCUAUAUUUUGUAUCAUGGAGAGGAUCUUGACUCCAACUAGUGCUACUUCUGGAUUGAAACACUAUUCUAGUUUCAAAUUUUUAGCUAGAAUGGUCUCUUUGCUUUUUGAAUUUUGCAAACCCCUUAAAGCUGGAGUUUUUUUUAAUUCUCAAAUGUCAAUACUGAAUUUUUGGUAUUGAAUCAUUUUAUCUUUUAAUGUGUGUUUGUCCUAUAUUUUGUGUAUGCUACUUUGAUCUUGCUCUUUAUAAUUGUGUUAAAUUAGUAUGGAAAAUGGUUCCUUAUUAUAAAAUUGUCACAUUCAUUAGCUAAUUAUAUUUUUUUUGCAUGAGGUGUAUAUGGAGUAUAAACUUAUGUAAUUGUUUUCCUUCCGGGAUGCAGUCAAAGAGAAACUAUACAAGUGAAGAGAAGUUGAUAAAGGAAAGGUUCAUCAUGAGUCACUUUCAUAGGAUUUGAGUUGUAUUUUACUAUUGGGUUAUUUUGUAACUAAAAUAGUGUGUUGUACUUAGCGUGAGUGUCUUAUGUGAUAUUUUCUAUUAGGUUUAAGUAUGAAAAAAGUCCGUACAAAUAGGAAUCACUUUGAUUUUAGUCUAUGUAAAGAAAAAAAUUUCUUUCAAAUUAACCUUUGCAAUCCAAACACUUUUAAUUUGGUCUCUCGGUAUAAUUGUUUGCUGAAUUGGACAUAGUUCAUCAUUGCCCACUAUUAAUUAAAGGGUUUUUCUAACCUGUGCAAUCUUGCACAGCUUAAGGAGUAAUAAAUGUCUAAUUUUUUAAGUUUUUUCUAAAUCAUAUUAAUGAGUCAUUUAAUUAACCAUUUCUUAAAAACUGUAUUUUUUUUCUUUCUCCUAAUUUUUACAUGAAAGGCUCUCUAUCUCUCAUUUUACAAUUGCCAACGAACAUCACAAUACCCUUGCCAUACAUACAGCUCGUUGAAAUUUCAAUUUUAAUUAGUGAUUCAUGCAGGUUCUCAUCAAUCAAUAUAUUACCCUACAAUCAAAUUCUAAAUGAAAUAAAAUAUUGCAAAUUAGAGAGGAAAGAAUCAUAAUCUUUAACAUUGAAAUUUUGUUUAAUUGGCAAAAGAAAAACUGAUGAAGAUUAAGAGGAAAGAGACGAAACAUAAUUCAUGGAGAAUUUAAUUGAAAAUGAUAAAGAUUAGAACUGAAGGUCUGAUACGUUCAUACGGCUUCCGUUGACAAAUGUUAAUAUGAAAGAGAAAGCAAAAGUUUUUAAGAAAUAGUUAAUUAAAUGACUCAUUAAUAAGAUUUAGAAAAAACCCAAAAAAUUAGGCAUUUAUUACUUCUUAAACUGUGCAAGAUUGCACAUGUUAGUAAAACCCUUAAUUAAAUAGUUACAGUAACAUUUUUAAUCAAUUUUAAUUAAUGUUUUAAAAAGACAAAGAAAUGCUUUAAUUGGAAAGGCUUAAUAAAAAGUAAUUUAGGGAAAGAACAAAAGGACACAUACUUUAUUUCACCUCGUUUUCCUUGGGAAUCCCAAAACACCACCCUACUAUAUUUCUGAUCCACACUCACUCUUAAUACCAUCAACACAAUGUUAGCAGGUAUAGUUAAACAAGUAUUAGCAGAACUGUUUCAAUUAGUAGACCAAGUAAGCAAAGCACUCGAAGAUGGACUGUGCAUCUUUCGAACAAGAACGUUUAGAACUCAAGAAGAACUUGUUGCCCUUCUCCAUCAAAAGGUAAGAACAAGAUCCAAUUUGUACGAACAAACUGAUUUUAAGUCUAAACUGGGAAUGUAUUAUUAUUCUUCACAGUGGCUUUUUUGACGAUUGAUCUGAUGCUACUUCUUCUUUCGUACACGUAAUGGGAAAUUAAUCAUGAAGGUGGUGUUGGUCCAUUGUUGAAACUUAUCAAGGAAGGUAAAAAAGGUUAUGAUUCUGUAAGGGUUCCUAAAUUUGAGAGUGUAAUAAAUUGAUAAUUUUAAAUUAAUUAUUGAAUGAAGAGUAAAAUUGAUAGAUUAGAACUCAAUUAAAAUUAAUGUUCUUUUUCACUAUAUAUGCACAACUUAAGGUUCCUUGAUUUUAGGAUCACUAGCCGAGUGUCAUUUACCUCAACCAAUUAUGUUAUGCCAAAUGUAUUUUCUCAUGUGUUAUUUUGGAUCAUAACAUUACUCCCCCAUUCAAAUCAACCUUGUCCUCACCUCAAGGUUGUGAUGUAGUCAUAAAGUCACCUAUAGAUGUGUAUCCUGCAAUUUCAUCUCUAUGUAAACCUUUCCACUUCUAGUUGACAAGUUAGAACCAACAAAAAUAGCAUAAUAAAUGUCACCUAUAGAUGUUGACCAUUUAAUUUCGUUCAGCCAAUCAUGAAUCAUGCUAACAAAAAUUGCACUUGGACUAGAAACAAUAUUUGUAGCUAGUGAUUUUUUCUGCAAUUGCAUCAAGGUUUGUAUAAACAAAGACUUGGACAUGAAGGGAAAUUUCAAAUAUCAUUACUGCUGCAACCCAUCUUGUUUCAUCAAACUUUCCAAUAUAAUUGUGGUUCUGAAGUCUACACUUAAGUAAAGAGCUUGCUUUGUUGUCAACAAUUUGGUGUGAUGCGGAUUUGGUAAAAACCAUAGUUUUAGAAGCAAUUAAAUUGACAAACGAUGGGCUGAGAUCACCCUGUUGCAUACAAGCUUCAAUUGUUUUGGAAAAAAUGUAUCCACGAGGUCUCACAUUGUAAAUGUGCCAAAACAGGCAAAACAACACUAAUGCCUCGGCAGUAUAACUGAGUGUAGCAGUCACAUAAAUCAUAGUGUUAUUACAUUAGUUUCUUUGGUUAAAUAUGUGUUCAUAGUGUUAAGAGCUGAUGAUAAUGGUGAAGGAGGCACUUUUGCACUUAACUCUUUGUUGUGUAGAUAUGCUAAAGUUAAUUCUCUUCCUAAUUGUCAAUUGGCUGAUGAAGAAUUGUCUGAGUAUAAGAAAGAUGGUUGUGGUGGUGGUGUUUCAAAUGGUAAAGGAUUUGCCUUUAGGCUUAAGUCUACACUUGAGAAAAGGAAGGUUUUGCAGAAGUUUUUGCUUGUUCUUGCUUUGAUUGAAACUUGUAUGGUUAUUGGUUAUUUCGUUAGUUGCGAUCAUAUCUGACAUAAUGCUCUUUGCCUAACAGGUUUAGCUGUUAUCACAGUGAUGCUGGUAACCACCUGUUUGAUGUCACUGGUUAUUGUACUAUGCUGGCACCAUAAUGUUUUCUUUUCACUCGCGUUUGUUCUCUUUUUCGGCACCAUUGAGUCUGUCUUCUUUUCUGCUUCUCUUACCAAGUUCCUACAAGGAGCAUGGGUGUCGAUUGCAUUGGCAUUUGUUUUUAUAACUGUCAUGUACGUAUGGCACUACGGCACACACAAAAAGUACGAAUUUGAUGUUCAAAACAAGGUUUCCAUCAACUGGCUGCUUGGCAUAGGUCCAAGCAUAGGCAUUAUACGAGUACGUGGUGUCGGCCUUAUACAUACAGACCUAGUAUCCGGAAUUCCUGUCAUUUUCUCCCACUUUGUGACCAACCUGCCAGCUUUCCAUCAGAUCCUAGUCUUUCUCUGCAUCAAACAUGUGCCAGUUCCGCACAUUAGACCCGAG
rnacentral:lncRNA from 1 species